rnacentral:lncRNA from 1 species
CGCCUGCAGGUGGGCUUCCAGAGGGAGAACCUCCAGAGGGAGAGCCCCCAGAGGGAGUUGGGCUAUAUGGGGGGCUAGAGUAAGAAGGAGAUGAUGGAGUGGUAGGAGAUGAACCAGACGGGGUAGGGCUGUAAGGGGGGCUAGAGUAAGUAGGCGACGACGGGGUAGGAGGAGACGGACCAGAUGGGGUCGGACUGUAUGGGGGACUGGAGUAAGUAGGAGACGAUGGAGUAGAAGGAGAUGGGUCGGAAGGAGUUGGGCUGUAUGGGGGACUCGAGUAAGAUGGAGACGAGGGAGUUGUAGGAGAUGAGCUGGAGGGAGUUGGACUGUAAGGAGGGCUGGAAUAGGUAGGAGAUGACGGAGAAGAACCAGAAGGAGUUGGGCUGUAAGGAGGGCUAGAAUAUGUAGGAGAUGACGGAGAAGGACCUGAAGGAGCAGUAGGAGAUGGACUAGAAGGAGCUGGGCUAUAUGGAGGACUGGAAUAAGUAGGAGAUGAGGGAGUCGUAGGAGAUGAACUGGAAGGAGUCGGGCUGUAUGGAGGACUAGAGUAGGAUGGAGAAGGGGUCACAGGAGACCCACCGGAGGGAGUACCAGGAGAGUAAGGAGGAGAACUGUAGACUGGAGUGGGAGUCACAGGGGAAGGAUCGGAAGCAACUGGGGGAGAAUACGAUGGAGUGUAGGGAGUAGCCGGUGGAUCAGUGGAGGGAGGAGGAGGGCAGAGAGUCAAACUCGGGAUCAAGCUUCCCAGGCCUGAAGACGUGAGAAGCACCCUCGCCUCCGUGUUGACGAUACAAGCGCAGCAGCUUAGAAGAGCUGCGACGAGAAUCAGCUGCGUCGACAUAGCUUGCGACCUGCUCGUCUUCGCCAUGGCGUAAUGAGGAAACGACGGAAGGGCAAACACACUUCGAUGAAGCUGGACACUUGCUCUGAUCGUAAAAUCGGGAGCUUAGGAGGUGGUACAUAUAGCUGAGAGAGUGGGAGAAGUGGGCCGCGGCGAUGGGCUGGGGAACUGAGGGUCCAGGUGUGGGGAAGCGCAGCAGUUAAUGAGGUCAUGAUGAGGAGCCGCAGAGCGAAACCAGAACAGUCAAUGGGCUUGAUCACAGUCCUGCACUUCAGCCCCCCCCCCCACCCCCACUGAUCCACGACACGAUUCCAUCAAGUCCCGGGUCUUCAAUUACGCUGGUGCGGCCAUAUUUUGAAAAUUCGCUCACGUUAAAGUAGUGUCAAGUGCAUUUCCGUAGGAAUGUGGACAUUCUGAGGUGGCUCUUUACUAAGGAACUAGAAGGAGUUGUUUAUGGUUGUUAGUUGCCGAUGUAGCAGUUGAACAGAUUAUCCGACUCCGGGUGGCCACCCCUAAAUCCUACUUGGCACAUAAUAAAAUCGCGCAAGGAAAUAGUUGGUGCGGAAGAAUUGCUGACUCGGCACGGCUCAGAACAAUUUGAGCUCAAUUCAGUAAUGUUUAAAUUGCCUUGGGAAAUCUAAGUCAUUAAUCCUGUAUUUUUUGGAGGUUGUCAUGCAACGUCUUCGUUGAGAUACAAGUCACUACAGCACCCAUUCCCAAGAAACAAAAAUCAAACCUGGCAGGAUCAGUAAGUGAACUUUUAGUGUGCCAGUUGGCGUUUACCAUUUUAUAUCAUUCAUUUUUCCAUACUACAUGAAGUUAAUUUUCUUUACUUUCAUUUCCUCCUUUCGGUUCCCUUUUUCUUAACUUGGUGGGUGAUGUUUUACUACACGAAGAUACCUACAGAAUGGCUGCAGACCUCUACAGCGAUGAGUUCCGUUCCUCUUUGAGCACAUUUUUCAUCUGUAUCAACUUACAUAUCCCGGCAGAAAUUGAACGAUCUCCUGAUAAAGUACCUGGCAGGAGGCUGCAAAUUGUGGUAGAGAAGACUCGCUCAAUAGCGUUACUGGGGUUUUUUAAGCUUUUAAAUCUUCUUUUGUGGACAAUGUUAGGUCCAUUGCAUAAGUUCGGCCCAUACGGUAGUCUGCCAGGCAAACACAGGUUAUUAAGUGAUCAGCUCACAUGAGCCAGCAGUGAUGACGUGUGUCUUGAACUGACAAUCUGAUGUACAGAGAACUAAUUAAUCCGCCUGCUACAACCACCUUCUUGUUCUUAAUGAACGCACUACAUACUGCAGCACCGCAAGUUAGCAGCUGUAUUGCCGCGAGUUGGUUUUCCAUGUGUUCAGAUAUGGUUUUCAUUACCAUGGAUUUUUCACCUUCACCACAUUAAGCUAAUUUAAGCUGAGAUAUUUUUCAUAACUCGGGACUUGGUAGCUCAGAUGUUAACAAUUGCUCGAAAAUGUGCAGAAGUUGAGACAUGAGCCAAAAUUCCUCAACCUAAACUUAUUAAAAAUCAGGUAAAAUCUUUAUAAUUAACCAUUGUAAACAUGAUUAGGGAGGGUGUGGAGAAAUUUGGGUUCCUUCCUGCCAGCUUCCACCUUCAGUAACACAAAAUCCAAAAUGUUUGAAGGUUCUGCAACUUCAAAAAUCUGCAGUGAUGAAUCUUUCCACAGGAGUGGAUCUUGAAAAGCCAUUAUUGGAUUUACUUCUGAUACUAACUAGAUGUAAGAAGCUCUUUAAUUACCCUUUGUCUCCCCCUGUAAUAUGAGAGAUCCAAAUGUGAAACAUCUCACAUGAGUGACACGUCUGCCAUGGAUUGAAUACAGUGGAAUUACAUCACUGUUCCAGAAACUACAACCAAGAUGUUUUUGGUUCUUUAUCUCAUGGCUACAAAUACUUCAUGAGCCUGUCAAACAGGUCUUCCAUCAUGUCAUCAGACAGGCACAUCAAACAACAAUUAGACUCAGAAAUAUUAGGAGUAUGUGAAGAGCAUUCUUGAGUGUAAACAUUGACUUUAAAUCUAUAGAUUACAACUUUAUGAUAAAUCUGGCAGAGUAAAAAUGAGAUAACUACAUUCUGAAGCAAUUGAUUGAAGUAAUUGUCUGCAGCAAUUGCCUCUGUACAUCACUUUUGAAUAGCAUGCUUAAGCUUACUAAUGAAUGAGGUAUGUGCCUCAUGUAAACUUCAUGAAUAAUUGAGAGAACCUACCCACAAGAAAACUUCGAAUUAAGAUCGGCUCUCUGAUUCCUACAACCAACCUUCUAAACUGAAUUCCAAUGCAUUGCAGCAGCUCAUCACAAUACUGUCCAUCAUUUCAGCAUCACAUAUAGAUUUUCUUGCAUUCUACCACUCCUGUCAAGCUUCGACAGAAUGGACAAAUUAAUGUACACAAUGUGAUCCGGAUGUUAACUCCUAACUCUGUAUUCACUCUUGGAACAUAAAGCGAAUUCUUAGGCAUCCUUUGAAAACAAUCUAGGCACAUAGUAUGGCCGCAUGAUUGCUGCAGUACUGGAGGACUCUCUACAGUACUUUGAUCUAAAUGCACACAGCAGACAUAUAUGGAGUGAAAGUUGUAUGCAUCAUCUAGCUCCCACUCCUGAACCAGCUCAGAAAAUUUAAGCAUCAGAUCCCACACAGGCAACCAAUAUUACUCAAGGUCACAUCAAGACUUGGACAAUACAAAAACAAAACAAGCAAGAUUGAGGUUACAUGUACUACUUCUGCAUCCAAGAAGAUGAUGAAAAUUUGAAAAAGGACAUGACAACAUAAACACAGCAAUGGCCUAACCUGUACCUUGGAGGAUAUGCCCAGCAGAACGAGAAGUGCCAUGGAGCCAGCUGAAACAACGGCGUGUAAAGCACUUUGAAAUCGAUGAUUUAAAAGGUACUCCCUCUUGAAUUUUUCGCAGGUAGAUUGUAGCUGCUGGUGCAUAUCGAAAUAGGUUUUGUAAGGAGAAUUUCCACCUCGUUUAUUCCAGAGGAGACUAGCCAUCAUUCUAUUUACGUUAGUCCUCUGUAUGUGCUGAUUGCCAUAAUUAGGAAAUUUGGAUUUCACAUAAUCGUGCUCGGCAAUAUAAGAAGAAACGAAGGAUUUCCCAUAUUCAACAGCCACGUUAAGCCCUUUGGUCUUAUGAAGAUGAUGAAACUUUAGUUCACGCAAUUCAAACUCCAAUGAAGAUGCCUGGAAAAAUUCCAGCACAGAAGUUAACCCACCGAGAAACUAGUAAAUGAAGACCUAUUCAACUCAACCCUAAAGAAAAGAGAAUGAAGACCUUUCACUUGAGCUAGACCUAUCCGGGUAUAAUAGCACUAGAAAGGAUAUCCUUGCAGCGUACCCUGGCAUCCAAUUUGAGUCGAUUCGCAUCACACCAAUCCAAUGCAGGGUCUACAUUCAUCUCACGAAGUUGCUUCAAAUACUGCCACAUGUCGGACACGGGAGCGUGCAACGCUGCAGCAACACCCAAUUCUAUUUGAGCCUCCAUCACGAAGACAUCGCAAAAACCGAGAUCCUCCGCUCGAUAGAAAUGAUCGCAUAUGAGCUGAUUGAUCAAGUUGCUAUCGAAUUCAACAUUUACGUACGCCUUCAUAAUGUCCCGUGCGAAGACAUUGUUCAGUGAUUCGUUCCAUCGCUUCAGGGGUAUGUCGAUACGUCUUCGACUUGUCUUAUGAAUUUCUUCGACAUACUGUGAAUUAUAAAGUGUCAGGGAUCUCUACAUUCAAAUGUGAAUGCAGAGAGAGGAGAGACAAUUGGCUAUCCAUUCCCAAAAAGUCAAAGAGAACAAUUACCUGGCUUGUUAGACCAACUUCAGUCAAUUUUCGUCCAAGGUUUUGGAAUAAUUCUUUGCCAAAUUCAGAGAAGUCAUCCUCAUUCAACAUUGCAAGCCAUCCUGCAGCUGCAUUCGCCUCCUCUAGUGCUCUUUCGAUCACACCUUGUCUCAGUUUUAGGAAAUAGGAAUUGCGCAGAAAAACUACUUGAUCAAUUGCGUGUCGAAUGGGGGUCAAAUCCAUCUUGUCGACUUGGAUCAGAAAGCAGAUAGUUAUGUCAAGGAUCUCGGGUCACCUCAAGAACUCCCUGAUGCUUUUGCAAUCCACAAAGCAACAAAGCUCCACUUGACCAUCUUCCAAAUCCUGUCAAAUGGAAGGAAACUUCGGGUACACACGCGCGCGCCCAACUGAACUUCGACAGAAGCAGAAACCAAUAUUUAAAAUGACACGCCCUUCAAUCGAAAAAUUCAACGCUAAGCAAAGAAAAUCAGUAUAUGAAGAAAGUUGCCUUACAACCCAACGCGGAACUAGGACAUCGCAGUGGCGCCUCACAUUUGAAACUCCUCAGGCUCAUUGGAGAUUCUCAGGUGCAUCGAAAGUCAUGGAUCCAGUACUCUCCACUGCUUCCUGGGACUCCUACUUCCUAGCACGAACUCUGCCUCUACAACUUUAAUAUUAACAACGACGACGCUCCUCGCACACAAACCUCCACCACGAUUCAAAAAGGAUGCCUAGAUCUGAAAUCCACCACCCCCACAACGAUGCAUCGGCAGAAACAAUCGUCUCCGCUACUCCCGAGGUGGAAGAUUGUUGCGACGAGCCAAAAUCGAAGCAAAUGCUUAGCAGCCUCCCUUCGUAGGCGACAUCUUCAGCUUCGCCGCGGCCGUUGAUUCAUUGAGAGACUUUUACUCGUGACCGUUUAAUUAUGAAGGAGACGCUGAGUAGCUGCAACUUUUUAAGUCUUCUAGUAGUUGGAAUUGAGAAGCUUGUAUUAAGAUAAAUAAAAGAUGUGAUCUCUCACUUUGUCACUCCAUCAAAGAUUUUUGUUGCAAAAUUAAUGAUAAAAUGAACAAAAACCUUCAAAUCCUCGAACUUGUGUGAAUUAGUUUUGAUGAUAUGCACAGAAAUGAGUUAAGUGGAGAAUGGAUCAUUUUUAUAUGGAUUUUUCAGUUAUCACCAUGAAGUGUUAAAGAUUUAAUUUUUUAAAUGUACUGAUGAUAUAAGUUUAUUUGAUAAAAAAAAAUCUUAGAAAUACAACGAGUUAAAACAAUUUGAGAUUGUUCUAAACUUUACUUGUAGUCUUAAAAUCAAUGGAUAAAAUUUCAUGAGAUGUGUAUUUGAUUUCUUAUAAGACCAGUGAAUAUAAUGAGAAACAUAAACUUGGUGUUUUUGACAAAAUAAUUUGCUCAUACAUCUGUAAGAACUUAUAAUCAAAUUACACAUUUAAGAAAUGUUUGUACUUUUCUUUGAAAAUAAAACAAUAGUAAGACUUCUUGUAACAUCUUAAGAUUGAUUUAGAAGGUUAUAGCAUCAAAGAAAAACACAACGUGAUAUGUUGAAUGUAAAGUGAUGCACUAAUUUAAAUAACAAAAAAAUAAAUGAUCCAUUAUACAAGCUUUUACGAAGUCUAUUGUAUGUUUUAUAAAUGUUGCAACAAGAAAUCGUGAUUAAUUAUUUUAGGAGUCAGGUUUUUAUCAUAACCAAUAUUAUUUGCUUUUAUCAAACAACUUUAAAACAUUUAGACUUAUGUUUUCUCAUCAGAUUAAACCUUUAACCAGCCACAAUAUUAAAUGCCACAUUUAGUCUGUUGAUUUAGGGAUGAUGUGUUAGGAUUUUUCAAAGAAUACAAAACACUUAAGACUAAACAAAUGAAAAAUUCACAUUAAAGAUAUCAUUAAAAGGUAGAAAACAAAGGCAUGUGAAAAGUGGGAAGGCAAUUUUGAGUACCUCACUACAUCUUCACAUAUUGAUUUUAUCCAUCUAGAAUACCAUUUUGGGUUUUUCCUAAUCCGUAGCUUGCUCGCUAUUCAUGGCUAUAGAUAGGUAGGGGACUCAACAAAACCUAGAUUAAUAUAAAUAAUUUGAGAGUAUAAUUUAGGGAAUGGUUAAAUUGACCCAAGUAUUUAUUAAAUUUACCACCACCAGAUCCGCAUUAAUAAAAAAACUAAUGAAAAAAAUGGUUUGAUCCUUAACCAAUGAUGAUGGGUGGAUUGAUUUAGUAAAUGCCUUGAUCAAUUUAACAAUUCCCAUAAUUUUAAGUCAUCCAUUGGAAAGGCUAAGGCUGGUCCUUAUUGGCUAAUAAUUUUGGAAGGUGUAGACAUGUCUCUAGUUCAUAUCCGGUGACAUGCAUGGUAUACUAAUUAUAUAAUUAUAUAACUAUACUUAUAUUUUGACCCCGCUUCUCAGUAUUUAAGCGCUUCUUCCUAACACUUCUCCAUAAUACUUUGUCUUAACCCUCCCAGGCUCUCUUGCCAAGGCCUCCUUGGCUUCUGCUCUCCUGGCCCUUAAAUUCCAAAUUUUGCAGAUAAUUGGAAUGGAAAAACCCAUUAAAAAAAUGGUUAAAAUUGCCCAAAAUUCAUUCAUGAAUUAUCAUCCAUUAAAUACAAUAGUGAAGCUCAGCACCUAAUCCCCUGCGGCAGGAGGAAGGUUGCAACUAGAAGUCCCGUUGAGUCAUUUGGUGUGAAUAGGUCGAUUCUGGAGUGUGUUUUUAGGGUUUAGUGAGUGAUUCUGGUAGAUGUAUUCACUUUCGUAGCUAUCAGCACACAGUUCCCAGCUGUGUAGAUCUCGUCUUGGGUUUGUGAAUCAAAGCUCGAGAUCCGUUGUUCAUGCUGCAACCUAAGGAUUGGAGUUGUCGUUCGAGUCUCGAACUGUAGCGAUACUUGUUUGGGGUGAAGAUUGCGCUUCCCCUGGACGGAGAUGAGUGAUUCAACCACUGGCAGCAAGGAGGUGGAGGAUGAGUGGACAGUCGUUCGAGGUCGCAAGAAGCGGCAGCAUACGAAACGAUCCUCGAGCAGAAACGCAGACGAUGGGCACCUGUCUUGUUGCCGCGGGCACGGGCCGGACUUAGACCUAAGCUCCGGGAAAGCUGUUGCAGAACAGAAACUGCGGGAGAAGUUUGCCAGUUCCAGGGAACGAGUGCGGAGUUCUGCGUUUUUCAAAAACUUAGUGGAGCAGAUGGAACGCUUGCAAAUUCUCGAAACGUUGCUGGCGAAUGGGAGAAGAGCUGGCCACAAAGCGUGUGAAUCCCACCUCUCAGACGGUACUUGUUCUUAUCUCACCUCCAUCCCUUCUUGUUGCGCACUACAGGAUCUGUGUUGUAUUGCACAUCCGGGGAUUGAAAUUUGGGGUUUUUGUGGACACCUCAUGGAUUUUUGAAUUUGGCUUGUAGGGAGGUCGACAACGGAAAGCUUAGAGCAGAAGGAAAUUGAAAUUUUUACGUUGGAGGUAACGCCUGCAACAAAAUCAUCAUCUCUUGUUGAGGUGGUUGUUCUCGGCGUGGGGAGCUUGCUUGACAGUGAGGUGUCACGCUGUCAAAUGUCCCUCGCGCUUCUCUUGAAGGACCGUUUCUCUUGCAUUGGCAAUAUACUUGCCUAUGACCCGGUGCUGUCGGCUAUGGAGUGCGCGUUUUUGACAAACCUAGGUUGCACCCCGAUUGUGCAAGACGAUAAGGGCAGAAGGCGAGCAGACUCUCCCACACUGUUUUACAUGCCGCAUUGCGGUGCUUCCCUCUAUAACAGUGUCUUGGAGGCGAAUGUGGAGCCAUGGUGCGUCGGGUGGAUCUCCAUCCUUGGCAACAGCUUUCAGAAGUACCAGGAUAGCUGGUCAGUGUUUCCGAAACCCAAGCACGCUAGGCCUGAUUGUUUGCUUGGGCUGCAAGAGCAUGUAACCGAGCAUUCUGUGAACGCUGCGUCGUUUCCCUGCGUAUCAGCUUUCAAUGACAUGAGUUGGCAUCUGUUUCCAGUUGACAAAAUUUUGUGAGGCCAAUACUUUGCAUAUGAUUUUGGCUGAGAUCACUAAUUCCUGCUAAUUUUCGUUGAUCUUCUGUUUUUGUCAUCGUCGAUGCCUGCCCAGUCGUUUCGUUUUACAAUGUAUUUUGCGAUAGUGGAUAGCAAAUUUUUCAUCCAUCUAACUGGUACUAGAAUUUGCCUUCGAUUUUAGACAUGUUGCCUGCUAUUAAUCGACUUCAAGCUAUGAGGUCAAUUUCAGUGUCCGACAGUUCAUUCCAGACGUCGGCAGGUAACAGUCACACAUUGUACUAAUUGCACAUUAGACAUCAGCUUUCCACAAAAGUGUGGGAUAGAGUGGAAUAUCUCAAAAUCUUCCAGAUGAACGUCAACGCAUGGGAUAAUUCUUGUAACAGAACCUGAAUUGUUCAUCAUUCAUUGUUUUAAAUAGUAUUUCUGCUGCAUUGGGAUUGAAGGAACCGUGAUUCAGUAUUACUUUCUAAAUGAGUUAGCUAAGCAGAUGAGUGCAUAACAUACCGUAAAAUCAACCUCGGCAUGCAGCCCUAUUCUACUCCCAUAUCUUGCCGUUCAAUUUGGACGUCGGGCCAAUUAGGUGGCACACUUCAUCUUCGGUCCCGGCAGCAUAACCAUACAACGCUGUUGAGAGAAAACACUAUGUACACUAUGAGCGACAUCCAUGGCUGUGCUCAUGGUGACAGCGGUGCUGUGCAGUGGCAUGGUGGCGCCGGUUAAGAGAAAGCCGUGCCCAGUAUCAAGAAACUCAUCGGUCUCCUCAAUCGCAUCGCCCAUGGCCACAUCAAGAUCCCGUUGCGGCACCUCAUGUAUCGUUUGAAUUCAUCCAGCGAAAAGGUAUACGAAAGGGUUGCAAGCACUGUUGACUGGACUGCCUGUCCUCAGAAUCGUUUUGGCUGUAGUUGUUUACUCUUGAUUGGCAAUACGCAGGCUGCAUUGCAGAAUGACUCGAUCAUAAUCUUCAAGUCACCCUGCUUGAAUAUCACACUCCCUAUUAUACAAAUCUAUGUACGUGAUGCUGCCAAGAAUCGAAAGACUUCUGCCGUAGCGAUCACCUCCGAGGUCUCUCAUUUCUUCGAAGCCCUAGCCUUGUGGAUGCAUCUAAUUGUGGGUACUGCAGCUUUUCAAAAGGAGUCUACCUGGUUACACUGUGAUUCUGUACAGCUCCUUUGUUGUGACACGAAACUUACGAAUGAUCAAACCCAAUCCAAUUCCCAGCCCAACGCACAUACCUAUCCCAAUUCCGAAUCCCAAUUUGAUGCCCCUGGAAAUGCCUUUGUUGUACCAUGUUUCUUCCUGAUCCACCACGUCUGGAAGGUACAAACUACUGUCGAGCGUGAGCAUUUUGCUCACGUAAUCUCCAGCUGCCAACUCCUUCUGACUAUCGGCCUGACUCCUGGACAUGCCGAAGAAAGACUCACCACCCUACCAUCCCCCGAAAUACCUCCCACGUCAGCUUUACACUCUCUUCAAAUUAAGUGGUCUAAAGGCUAUGGAUCAAAUUGGUGAUACGGAUCCACGAAUGGAAACACAAUACAAUAAAGCUAAUCAAGUGAAGGUAGGAAGGGAUUGAGAAGCUCACCUCGUCCAGGAAAUCGUUCGAGACCAUCGCCGUUGCGUACAUUUGGCAACUUUCUUUAUCAUCUUCGUUGUCCUCGGGGAUAGCAUUGAGGGUGCAGAAAGAGGCGGAUCGUCGCUUGACAGUAAGCAUCAAGGUCUGCGUCAAGAUUACAGGCUCACUCUUAAACCUCCCCACUACACAAAUUUCCAUGGCUGUGUUGGUGUUGGGAAAGUUUAUGCACAGGCCGUGCUUGAAGAGCUCAUACUUCGCCUUGACGAAGGCGCAUCCUAGCGAUCCAAUCUCACAAGUGGUGGCCAUGAUCCAUCCCAGAUCAUUCCUCGUGGGUACAGCCGGUGUCGCAGCAGCUGGCCUUGGGGAAUACGCUAGCUUUUCCAGAAUGCCGGAGACGAGAAGUGUGUCUUGAUCCAGGAUUUGAAAGUGAAGCGUGGAGCUCAUGCGGAGGUUGUCUGUGCUGACAUACAUGAAAGCGUCCGCCGUCUCGGAUUCGAUGCGGUUUCGACGGAGGACAAGGGAGACCUCCUCCGAUGGGGGAAUGCGCCCGCCAUUGACCUCCAUGCAGGUGGCGAUUUCCCGUGGGGGAAAGUGUACGUUUAGAACCUCAGGAAGUGUGCAAUCUCCUGUCAGCUGGCAGUUGGUGACGCGGACGUAGAGCAAGCUCGCGUCGAACCAGAAGUCUGCUUGCGCCGCUACAGAUGAUUUGAACGAGAGGUUGUUGCUGCUCUGCGAAAACGCCCACCGGGAACUGGCCAUGAUUUUGUUUACAACUCCAAACGAAAUUCCCCGGAUCGAUUCUGCUACGCAAGAAUGACACCUCUCGUCUUAAUUAUGGAACCAGCUAUAUACCACGUGAAGACGACCGAUUCCAGCAAUAGGGACAUUUCUGGUUUCUCCAGAGCUGUAUCACAAAUCAAGCCACACAGUCAUCUGGCUAAGUCACAAUCUCUGUCAGCUCGCAAGGAUGUGACAUCACUUCCAAUGCUCUCCCCACCGUUACGAUGGUUUUGAGGCUGACUUACGGAGGUUGCAUUGCGCAUGUAGAAAUCACUUGGCUACAAAACGACUGGUGUUUUGCGGCGUCCAGCGAGUUAUCAGACAAGGCUUCGACACAGGCUUCAAAUAAGGUCGAUCUCUAGCAUGAAGAUCUGCUCAAAGAGCAGCCGAACAGAGUUUCCCAGUAAUUUGCGAAAAUGUCAUCGCAGUACAUCCAACUGAAAAGAUUGGUCGGAUCGCUGGAGGUUGAGCCUCAAGAACCACCAGAAAGAGUCUGACCCUCUACCAAGUUCCACAAAAAUUUAUGUGCAGACAGUCGGUCUACCUGAGGAUGGUCGGAACCGGCAUUUCAUAACACAAUCAAGCUUCAGAACCUCUUUCAGCUCCAUGCAUGCACAUCAACUCCCACCAGAUCAACACAUGAUCACAAGCAACCAAAACCAGAGACACCACCACCCCCGACUCUGGAGAGAUGCGCGGUCGAUGGUCACGAACCACUAAACGAAUCCACUAAACCCACGAAGUUGAAUCAAGGUAAUCAACCAAAAAAACGCGCUCGCUCCUCCAACUGAUCCACAAAAAUGUAAGGAGAAAAAAACGAAACCCUGAUAAGCUCUAGAUCAACUACCAACCGCCAUGCACUUGAAUUCUGAAACCCACUCUGUAUAUGUAUACAUCUCUAGCUCUCCCCUCUCUCCCUCUCUCUCGCUCUGGGAAUACGCGCGCGCGAGUACAAGAGCGUCUCACAGUGCAUGUGUACUUUUCUCUUAAAAGUUCGGGAAGGACACCAGCUGCGCGGAUGAAAAGCAGCAGUUUCAAGCGAUAGUGGCCGCCAUGUGGGAAGGGAAGCUUUGUUCGUGAUGAUUCUGAUGGGGGAAGGGAGCAUUUUGUCCAAGGCAGCUGGUAAUUUGUUGGUAAGUUUCUUUCUUAAUCGAGAUCCAGGCUCGUCGUCAUAGGACUAGCGGCAGUGGAAACUGCCUGUUCAAUUCAUCACCCUUCGAGCACUUGGCGGCCAGGCCAAGUGGCAGAACCCACCUCCCUCCUUGUGACGCACUACACUCCCUCCUGUCGCGUUUCGGUGAAUCCAAGGCGACGCAGAAGAAGUAAGGAACCCGCGAACAAAAUUCGAACGACGCCAUCACUGCCCUCCACUCUCGCUUGGAACACUAUCGCUUAUAUAUAUAUAUAUAUAUAUAUAUAUAUAUAAGAAAAACAACAACGGCAACAUCAACAUCAACUACUUAACAACUUGGACGAUGUCUGCAUUUUCGAGCCUCCAAAAACUCGGUCCUCGUGAACGAUUUAAAUGGCCUCGGUUGUAUCGACAACGUGGGCGAUUGUCGAUAGAGGCCCAGAAUGUUCUUGUGCCUGUUGUUUAAGCAUUUUGCAAAUCUGCAUGGAUUCUUGUGGGUUUCGAGCAAUUGGGGAUGUUAUUUUAUUUUAUUUUAUUUUAUCACGAGACACAUCACCCUGUUGCUUGGUCAUGUGGAGUGGGUCUGUAGGGUCAAUUGAAGUUGGUGGGGUGGUUAAAUAAUGGUUUUAAUAGAGGUUUUAAAUGUGCAUUGUUCACUUGGACUUGAUGGGAGCUUUGAAAAUAUAAAAAAUAUAAAAGUGUAUGAACCUCAACAAAUACAAUUCCCAUAGAUCUAGACUUUCUUCAUUAAUGCAGUAAUGUAUGUGAACUAUUUAUUGGCAAAGUCAUAACAGAGUUAAACUCUUGUAGAUGAUGAAAUAAAUAUAUAUUCCAGGAAUUUUUUGAUUUUUUGAACCAGUUUUGUGUUUUUGCCAUUAACAUAAGGACAAAAAAAUACUUGCCUUCUGUGUGUGGAGAAUGUGAUACUUUAUGUAAUUUUUUCUUUUUUCAUUUUUUUUUUUUUUACUUGUAGCAUCUUUGAUUGAAAGGAGCAUGUAUCAAUUGUUUGUUGGGUGAGAAAAUGAUGAAAUUGACACCCACCUUACUUUCAUUGCACGUCCAAAGGAUGGAAUCAAUGAUGUAUCGUUGUUUAUUUAUUUAUUUUACUUAUACAUUUUUUUUGUUCACUAAUGAAAAUUAAUAAGAUGGCUUUAAUUGUCAAUACUAAAUUAUGAUAGUUUUUUAUAAUUGUUUUUGUUAAUCACUGAUACUAUCAUCACUUUUAAUUGUAAUAGUGUAAUAUAUUAAUAAACCCACACACAUUACACAUGUAAAGUUAGCAUACAAUUAAAAAAAUACUCGUUUUUUAUUUAAAAGUUACAAAAUAAAAUUUAUUUUUAUUAUUACUUGCUAACUAAUAUGAAAUUAGGCAUACAAUUUUACUUGAAUUCAAAGUAAAAUUCAAAAGAAUAAAUUUUUAGUAUUUUUAAGACAUUAUGAAUUUUUUUAGAUCCUCAUAAAACUUUCCAAAAGAUUUUAAUACAGAAAAUCAACACAAAACUAGUUAAACUAUUUUCAUAGAAUAUACUUUUAAAAACAAUUAUUUAAAUUAUUAGGUUACCAAAAUUUUAAUAGAAAAUCAAUUUCGUGUCACAAGCCUGAUAUAUUUUAAUAACAAAAUUUUAAUCUUCUAAAUAGUAUUAUUGUUAACAAAAAUAUAGAAAUUUGUGCCUUACUUGUCAUUAAUAUAAACUUCUAAAACUAUUUUUACUGUUGUACAAACUUCAUAAAUUCUAUAAAUAAAACAUUUGGGAAUAAAAUCAAGUUAAAAGAUUCUUAGAAAAAUCAUUUCAAGAACUAUAUUGACAAGUUUUUUUAAAAGUUUUUUCUACAAGUUUAGAUGUCCAAAUGUUAGAAGCUUAGACCACAGUUCAUUAGUCUUACAAGUAGAAAAUAUAAGAACAAAAUUAAAAUUAACUUUAGUUCUAAUAAUACCUCUGUUAAAUCUGGUUUUUAACUAUUUUAUAAGAUUUUCGUCAUUAUUUUCACAAUAUUAUAAAAAUCUUGGUAAUGACUGGUUUGUUACUAAAAUCUAAUCUAAUCAUAUUUUCGUUUUUUUACUUGGAUUUUCUCUCUAUUAAUUACUACAUUUGUCACUUUUGUAUUGUCAAGUCUUUAAAGAACUCUCUAAAGAAUACCAAUGAUAUUUUAUUUUAUACUUUAGUUCAUAUUUUUAUUUAUUUAUUUAUUUCUAAAACUGAUAAAAAUUUCAAAAUCACUUCCUACUUCUUUGGUAUAAAUUAAUUAUUGAUAUUUUGUGUAAAAGAAUGCUUUUAACAUUAUAUGAUUAAAUGACCUUAUACAUAUUGGCAUUGUUAUGACCACAUGAUUUAUCAACCCUUUUAAUCUAGUUCCAAUUAUAUUGCAUAAAAUAUGAAAUAAAUUUUUUUGCUUAAAUAAAUUAUUUCAAAUCAAAUAAAAAUACUUCUUAAAAGAUAAUCACAAAUAAGAAAAAUAAGAAAAAUAAGAAAAAUAAGAAAAAUAUUACAAAUUUUCAACAAGAAUAUAAUAGAAAAAAUAAUUUAUUCAUGAUAUAUUUUUAAAAUAUAUAUAUAUAUAUAUAUAUAUAUAUAUAUAUAUAAAGAAUAUUUUUGUACCAUGUAUGUAAUAAAAUUUGUAACAUACAGUGAAAUAAAUUAAUAAAUUAAAUUAUUUUACACAAUAAAUAUACUAAAAAGUGAAUAUUAAAAUAUAAGGCAUACUAAGUUACAAAUGAACUAAAAGUAUUUUAUUUAAAAAAUUAUUAUAUACUACAGUAUUAAAAUAAUAAUUAUAAGUAUUAUAAUUUUAAUUAUAAAAUAUUAGAAACAUAAUAUCUUAAAGUAUUGAAUAGAAAUUUAUUAUACUAUAUAUAUAUAUAUAUAUAUACACACAUAUAUAUAUAGAUAAAAGAGUUAUGAUAUUAAUAAUUUUUAAAGAAAUAUUUUGCAUUUAAAAAAAAAUUAAAAAAGUGAUUUGGAUAAAUAUUGAUGUUUUCAAUUUUUUUAAAAAAAUUUAAUCUAUAAAAUGAAAAUAAAUCUUAUUAACAUAAAAAUCACAUACACAUACACCAUACUUGGCAGGCAAUUAAAGUUCAUUUUUAUCAAAACAAAGUUUUCUAGCAUUUUUGUGGCAAUGCAACAUUUUCAAAUGAAUGAUACUGUAAUUCUAAUCAAAAUUUACAAUUAAAAUCAAUGGAACAUAAAGAGAUGUUAUAUCUAAAUUAUCAAUUCUAUCAUAUUAACAAUGUCAUGUAAUUAGGGACAAAAUAUCACCAUACAAUUGCCACUUCGACAAUAGAAUUGUUAAAUAUAAUUAUUCAAUGAGUAAUGGACAUAUAUAUACACACAGACAUUCACCAAAAGUCAAAAUCUCUUACUGUAAACACAACUAUAGAUUAGCUAAUUAUCAAAAAAUUAUAAAUUAGGAUGAAUAAAUAGAUUAAGAAGAAUUAGGAUUUCUACUGAUAUUCUAAAGCUGUUAUAAGACAUUAUAAAAGAAAUAAAGCAAAACACCAAAUAUGACUAGUCUUAUAAAUAUAAAUCAAUGCAUAAUAUCACAUUCAUUAUAUUGAUUUCAAUGCAUAAUACUGCAUUCAUUGCAUUGAUUUAAAUUAUCUUAUAAUAUUUAAUACUAUUAUUUUAUAAAAAUUAGAAUUAUAAUUAAUCUAAAAUAAUUUAUUGUCUAUUUUAUUAAUUAUUAUUAUUAUUUUUAGAAAUAAAAUAUAUAAAACCGAAUUUUUAUGAAUAAAUCAAAUAAUAUUAACAUCAAAUACUUUAACAUAUACUUGAAAUUAUUUUUAAACAUUACCUCUAAAAAAGAUAAUUAUAAAAUGAAAUUCUAUUUUAUAUGGAUUAUUGUUAAUUAAUAUUUUGUACAAUUAUGACAUAUAUGUAUAUAUGUAUGUAGACAUAUAUAUUUAUAUAAAUUUUAAUUCUUCCAUUUUUUUAUUAUCAUUUGUAAAGCUAAAAAUUAUUUAAUAAUAAAAUUUAAUAGAAUAUAUAUAUUUUUUGCAUUUAGAAAUCACAAAUUAAUAAUAAAUAAAUAAUAAAAAUAAAUUAUUUUACUUCCAAAAAAUAAUAUAUUUUUAAAAUUAAUAUAUCUUGAUAUUAAAGCUAUCAUAAAAGUUACUUUUAAUAUACUAAAAUAUAUAUAUAAAUUUAUAUAUAUAUAUAUAUAUAUAUGUGAGUAAAUCUAAACAAUGAGAUUUUUUAAUAUUAGUUAAGAAUAUUAUUUGUCUUAUUUCAAAAUAUAAUUGACAUCAAGGGUCUCAUGAAAUCCAUCCUCACUCAUAUGAAUGGCUUUAAAAUAAGAAUUGACAUUAGUACGCACAAUGUGACAUUCUAGUCAUAAUUAUAUUUUACUUAGCAUAUUAAGCAUUAACAAAUGAAAUAGAUCACAUCACUGACCAUACAAAUCUAGUAGUACAUUUUUUGAAGCUACUUGAAAGUGCUUCAUAUUGCAAAGUGCUCUAACAUUCAUGCCACAUGAAAUAAUUCUAGAAACUAAAUAAAGUCAGGGACUUUGGAUACAAAACCUCUUUGAAAUUGUCUUUUUGUAGAAGAAGACACUAUCUCUUAAGUGUCUUCUUCUACAAAAUAAGAUAUUCAAAAACUUUAAAAUUAUCUUUUUGUAGUAGAAUAAGGUAUUCAAAAAAAUAGUAUUUUAUUCUUUUGGUGAGAAUUUUGUCCAAGUAAUUGAGGUAGUCUAGUAAGUCUCCAUGAGUAAAUCAAAUAAUGCUGCCUUGAUGAUAGAUAUUCAUGUUAUUUUUGAGUGGCUUACUUUGCUCAAGGGCCAGAUUAAUAAUGUCUGCGUAUGUAAACACCAACUAUCUCAAUAAUAAAACUUAUUAUGGUUUGGUCAUGACCUCGAUAAUUUCUAGAAGUCAGAUGCAGGUAUAAUUUUUGUAUGAAGAUGUUAUAUUUUUUAAUAAUUUUAAUUUACAUAUAACAAUAUAUAUAUUUAAGAAUCUUUAGAAUUAUAAUCUACAAGUUGUAACUAAGAUAUAUAAUAGCUUAGUAUAUUAAGAUAAAGAAUGAUAUCUUCCUUGGUAUUGUCACAAAUAUACAUAGAUACUCUAAUAAAUACCUAUAUGAUUAGAUAGAAGUAGAUAAAAAUAAAUAAAAGUAGGUUAAUUUUAUAAUACCUUUUAGAGAGGCUUCUUAGAAGCUUCAUAGAUGUUGCUUUGACUUUACAUAUGUUUGUAAUUGAUUGAUAGGUUAGAAACUUGGUCAAUAAAUUAACCAUGUAUUGGUAGCUUAUAGAAUAAGCUAAUUAUGUGGCAUAUAUAUAUAGAAAACUUGCCUUGCAAGUUAAGAUACAUGUCUUGCAAAGUCAACAUAUUUUGGAGGUCCUAUAGGACAUUGCCAUGUAGCUCCUAAUUAAGAGAAUAUAUGGAGGCAAGAGUGAAGCCUUCUUCACUCUUGUCAAUGCCUUUCUAGUCUUUAGUCUUAUUUUAAGACUUUCUAGUCUUCUUAUUUUUAGCAAUAUCUAUUCUAGUUUAAUACUAUAUCAUCUUUGAGUGACUUUCUAUUUCCUUUCAAUGAAACAAGAGUGUAUUGAGGAUUUUCUUUCUCCAAGUUUCAUGUCCUUGAUAUGUACUCUUUCUUAUCCUCCUCUUCUUCAUUCUCCUUCCUUCUUCCACCUUCCAUGAAUGUUGUGCAAUUUGCAAUGGAAGAUUGAAGAGCCAUGGUUCAUUAAUUAUGAAGUUAGUUAUAAAGUAUUAAAGUUGACAGACGGAGUUAAGAUUUUUGAAGGUUGCAUAAGGUUUGGAUACUAUAAAUUUUGUUCAUAUCAAAGCUUUAAUAUUGGUAUAUAGAUAACCAGAUUUAUAAACUAUAGUACAAUUGUAUAAUUGUAAGAUCAUGAUCUAUUGAGCUACAUGCUUUAAUAAGCCAUGUAAAAGCAUGAGAUCUUAUAAAGAAACAAUGUUGAUCUUAAUGAUAAAUUGUGAGUCAUAAAAAUAUAGUUGAAAGUACUUGAUGGCAAAGGUAAUAGCAAGGCUUUUUUUAUUGUUGAUUCCAUGAUUUUUUUUGAAUUUCAAAAGAAGUUAGAAGAUAGAUACAAGUACUCAUUCUUUGCAAUCAAUGGUUUGGAUAAGAAUAAUUUCUAGACCAUUUCAAUUAAUAUCAAUUUGUAGGAUAAAAGAUUGAUAAAAAUGUAGAUAGAUGAAAAAAGAGAUAGUGCAUAAGUAGGCCUUGAUUUUAUCAAAAAUAUCUUAUUUGACAUGGUAUCAAGGAUAAGAACUUGAUGAAAAUAAAUAAACAAGUAAAACUUUUUUAAAGAAGUAUAACAAAAUAGAAAUUAGGAAGCAUGUGUAUUAAAAAAAAAUUAGAAUGACUAUUGCCAAAAGACAAGAAAAUUAGGAGCUUCUUAAAAUUAGACUAAAAAUAAGAAAAGAAUUGAUAAGUAUGAAAAAAGAUUUAUUCUUGCCUCUAUAUAUACUAUCUAUCUAAAAGCUAUUUGGUGACAUUCUAUAAGACCUCUAAAAUGUGUUGAUUUUGCAUAACACAUAUCUUAACUUGUAGGAUAAAUUUUCUAUAUAUAUGCUAUAUAGUUAGCUUUUUUUACAAGCUAUGAAUAUGUGUGAUAUGUGGUUAACUUGUUGACUAAGUGUCUAACUUAUCAAUCAACUAUAAACACAAGUAAACUCAAAGCACUGUCUAUGGAGCUUCUAAGAAGCUUUUUUAGAAGAUAUAAUGAAAUUAAUUUAUUUUUAUUUACUUCUAUUUAUUUAUAUUAUCUAGUUAAUAAUUACAAUAAAUAUAUAUCCAUGACAUUAUUCUCCCCUUUAUAGAUGAAUUCCACAUGUCAAAACAAUCUAAAAAUGUGGUAAAUUAUAUUUUAUACAUACUCUAAUCUUUAAUCCUUUUGAAGAUAAUUGAUAGGUCUUAUCAACCAUUGAUAAUGUUCUAUUCUACAAUGAAAAGACUACCUUGUUAUUUUAUUAUUGCUGAAAUCUUCGUAACUUCCUUCAAAUAAAACAUUUGUAACAUCAUCACGAAUUGUUCCUACCUCUAAUAAAAUCACCAAAUAUCAAGACUUUCUUCUUCGGUUGUGAUAUCAAAUAUAUUGUAUCUUGUCAUUUAUUUAAGGAAGAACAUAUUGCUCUUGUAGAUCUUUAUGCCUACUACAUCAUUUUAAAGGUUGUAAUAAUUAUAAUAUCUCUUUUGAUAAGUCAAUAAAUGAUGAUUCUUGAAUUGAAUUUGUUGGCUAUUGGUUCUUCAUUUCUUUAAUGCCACAGUUAUAUAGAAAAAACAAACAAAGAUAGAAGGUAGAAUAUAAUCGUUUUUUAAAUUAUAUUUCUUUUAUAGUAAAGAUUUGCUAUCUUUCAUCUUAAUUUAGAUAGAUGUUGUUGAUAAAAAGUUUAGACUUUCUUUAUUAUAUUUGUAAGAAUUUUUGUUGGCUCUCAUAUAUAUUUGUUAAUAUUAUAUUUGUCCCAAUGAAUAAGAUAUUCCAACCUAAGUCAAUGCUGCCUUGAAUUUAAGACUUCUUUUACUUCAAAUUUUUAAUUAUUAUCUACUUCUCUAAGAGGCGGUGGUAUUUGUAUUUUUUGUAAGAUAUUCAUUUUCUUAUAUGGCUCCAAAAGAAAUAUGUAAAAUAGGAGAUGGAUUUUUAUAGACUUUGGUAGAUAUAAUCAAUAAAAAAUUGGAUUGAUUUAGUCACAAAUAGGAGAUGGUCCAAGUCUACAAUAAUCUAAUUUUGUUCAAAUAAAUGAUUUAUCAAAUCUUUUACUAUAUGAUUAUCAACUUUUAAAAAGUCAAAAGCAUCAAAUCGUGGAUAAUAAUCAUAAUUAAUAAAAAAGAUUUAUUACAUAGAAAAAUAUAUCAUAUUAUUAUAAACAAACUCUGCUAAUGAUAAAAGAGUUGUCCAAUCAUCUUGUUGAUAGUUGAUAGUUAAUAUUACUCCAAUAUUUGAGAUCAAAUAUUAUUCCAAAACUUAAUUUAUACACUUUCUUUAUCCAUUAAUUUGAAGAUAAAAAGCCAAAGGUAGUUUUAUAUCUAUUUUUAGAAUCUUAAAAAUUAUUUUUUAAAAUCUUUAUAUAAAAUAAAUUCUCCUAUUUAAUAAAAUAUCUUUAGAUAAUCCAUGAGAAUAAUAGAUAUUAUUAAAAAAAAGCUUAGUUAUUUCUUCACAUUUGAUAGAUUUUGUACAUGGUACAAAAUAUGCUAUCUUGGUGAAAUGAUCUACUAUCACAAGUAUAGAGGCAUAAGUACCUAAGACUAAAAGAUCUAUCAUAAAAUCUAUAGAAAUAGAAGAUUGUGGUUUUUCUAAAAUGGAUAAUGUCUAAAGAAGUCCAUAAGAUCAAUGGCAAGAAGUUUUUGAACUCAAACAAAAAUCACAAGAUUGUACAAAAUCUUUGACUACCUUCUACAUUUGGAAUCACUAAAAUUCUUUGAAAUAUUAAUUCCAAAGUCUUAUUUUAUUUAAAAUAUCCUAUUGUUAGAAAGUUAUGAGAAGCUUGAAGAAUACAUAAUUGAACUUCAUCUUCUAGAAUAUAUAAGAAUCCUUUCAAAAUAUAAUAAAUUAUUUUUAAAUUCAAACUUGAAAGUAUUAUGAAACUUUAAAGGAUUUUUCUUAAUAUCACAAAUAAGAAGAUUAGAAGACAUACUUGAUUGAACUUGCUUAAUAAAAGUUGAAUCAAUAAUUAGUGCUGAUUUCAUUAUUCAAAGAUAAAGAUGGUCUGGCUUUAAGAGAAUAAUUUCUUGUUGAUUAAAGGUAAGAUGAUUUAAAAAGAGUAUUUGAUAAAUCUUAUUAUUUUUUUAGUUGAUAAGUGAUCUUGAAUUUGAAUCUUGACAAAGACAUACUUUAGUGGGCUUGGCGAUAAUUCAAAAUAUAUGCUGAUAUAAAAUAUUUAAAGUUCUUAGGUUUUGCAUAUAUAGUGGCUGAACUAGGAGCGCGUUCUAGAUAAUAGUGCCAUUCUUGAAAUGAAUCUACAAUUGCAAAAAGUUUAUUAUUGUAGAUGUCAUAAUAGAUCUUGAUUGCUAAAAUAUUUUUGGAAUGAAAAGCUAGUGGGUGAAGUUUAUUAUUUAUUCCCAUUUAUAACAAUACAAUAUCUGAAACAAAGUUUGAUGCAUCUAUUUCUAUAAAGAAUAGCUUAUAAAAGUCAAUGAAACAUAAGAUUGAUGUAUAAAUAAAGGCUAUCUUCAAAGCUUUGAAUGUUGCUUUUGCUUCUUGAUUCUAUUGAAGUUUGUCUUUAUAAGACAAAAGUGCAAGUAGAGUUGCAACUUGAGAAAAGUUCUUUAUUAAGAUCCAAUAGUAACUCGCAAAUGUCAAAAAGUAUUAAACAUCUCUUAUCAUUUUUGAGAUCUUCCAAUCUAUAAUAGUUUGAAAGUUUUUAGAAUCCAUCAUGAGUCCAUUAUUUGAAAUGAUAUAUUCUAAAAAGUUGACUUGAAUAAUAUAAAAUAUAUACUUUUUUAUUUUAACAUGGAGUCUUGCAUCUCUUAAUUUUUGUAAUACAUGAAAAAUAUGAAAUUCAUAUUUUUUUGUGUUCUUAGAAUAGAUUAAAAUAUUUUCUAGAUAAAAAACAAUAAAAUUAUCCAAAACUCUUGAAAGACAUCAUUCAUUAGAUGUUGAAAAACUAUUGCUAUAUUUAUAAGUUUAAAAGGCAUGAUAUUAUAUUCAAAAUAUCUAUACUUGGUUCAAAAUACAAUCUUCCAUUCAUCUCUUUUUUUGAUGCAUAUUAGAUUGUAUGUCUCUUAUAGAUCUAUUUUUAUAUAGAUUUAAGCUUGAUUCAAUUGAUGAAAAAGUUUUAAUAUAAAAAAUAGUAAGUAUCUAUUAUUAAUAGUAAUCUUAUGAAGUUCUUGAUUAUCAAUACACAUCCACAAUAAUCUAUCUUUUAUCUUUACAAAUAAAAUUAGAGCUCUCACUUGAGAUUUAGAAUAGCAUAUAAAGUUUUUAGGAAGAUUCUUUUUAAUACAUUCUUUAAAUUCAAUCAAUUCAUUUUGUGAUAAAUUGUAGAUUGGUCGAAAUGGCAAUUAAACUCUUUCUUGAAGUUUCAUUGAGCAAUCAUAGGAACAAUGAUUCAAAAGAAUAUUUGUAUUUUUUUUUCAAAUAUAUCUUUAAAAGCUUGAUUUUAGCUAGGAAUGACAUUUGAAGACUUUCUACCAUUAAAAAUAAGUGUAGCAUAAAUGAUAUAAGGUCAUCUUUCUUUUGUAGCAUACAAGAAAGCACUUGCAUCUACAAAUAUAAAUUUGGUUAUGCUAGACUUAUGACUUUUUACCUAAUUAAUUACACUCUUAAUUAUACUUUCAAAAAAGUCAAGACUAUGAAAAAUCCAAUUUAUUCAAGGAUUUUACUUUUCUAACCACAAUAAAUCUAAAAUGAUUAGAUUAAAAAAAGAUCUAAUAAUAUUAAAUACCACAAAGCUAUUAUAACUAUUAGUUACUACUUUUAAAAGAAACAUUUAAUAGAUAACAUCUCCAGAAAAUAAUAAAUAAUUAUCUAUGAUUUUUACAUAAAUAAAUUUUAUUUUCUUUAUUAAAAAUGUGUUGAUGAUGUCUUAUUCUUUCAUACUUUCUUCAUAGCCUACUUGCCACAUUAGAUAUAUUUUAAUAAUAAUAUUGUAAGUAAUUAAAAUAUUUUUAUAAAGAUUAAUUAGACCUACAUUGAAAAUAUCAAGGUUGUUGUACAUGAAGUGAAUGACAUAGUGGUAUUGCUCUAUGAAAAUAUUGAUGUUUAGCUGCAUGUCUUAUAUGGUAGUAAGAAAUAUCUUGUGAUCUUUUUUUUUGUAUGAAUAUGGAUUUUAAUUUCAUGUUGAUCAAAAAAAGAGUUGCACAAGAUUGAUGUACCUCAUUUUAUGUAAUGUCCAUACUAUAGAUAUUUAAAAACUUGUUAAUAAUAUAUAUAAAAAAAUAAACAAUGAAAUAGACCAGAAUAUAGUUGAUUUGAAUGUGUAUUGGAGCAAGUAAUGGAUUGGUUAAUAUGAAAAUAAUUUUAUUGCAAUAUUAUUGAUUCAGGAUUAAUUGUCAUACAUUGAUGUGCAAUAUUGAAAAAACAUGAUGUUUAUACCAUCUAAUCUAGUUUUAAAAAAAAUUAUUUCUAAUAUUGAAAAUCAUAUCAAUUGUGGCUUAAAUUGUAAUAAAGUUGAUUAUCAUUGUUAUUAUGCCAAAGAGGCAAUAAACAAUGCCAUUUUCUAUCAUAAUUUGCACAUUAGUUAGCAUGAUGUAGAAGUUGAAGAUCUUGAUAACAGCAAGGAGAACCGCCAUCACAUUACAAGUUAUGUCAAUGAUCAUAGAUUGAUUAAUGCCAUUGAUUUUCUAUUUAAUCAUGAUUUAAUGGAUUUUUUAAAAUUUUUAAAAUUUUUGAUUUUUUUUGAAAGAAUAGCAUAAUUAAAUUAGAAGAAUAUAAGAUAUAUUAGAAUAAGUGGUCUUACCAUGGUCUUCACAUACUAGCCGUAGAAAGAUGUGAUGGCUAGUUUUAAUAUAUUUUUAGUAUGGAUUAAGCCUCCAAUUCCUUCUUCAUAUUGUCCAGCUACUUAAGUAUGAAUGGAUGCAAUAGGCAGCUCAUGGCAUUAAAUUCCAAUGUAUUAUAAAUGCAAUAUGAGUACACUUUACUUUUGAAACUCAAGUAUUUAUGUAUUCUUUGGUGAAAUCUGACUUAAUUCAAUGGAUGACACUACGGAGCACAACCAAUUGCAUGGUGAAUUCUUGUAUUAUAAUAAUAUCAUCAAUGCUCUCAAAAUUAUAUAUGCAUUUAUUAUUCAAGCCUUGAUUAUGUUAUUUUUGCAUAAUUACAUUGGAUGUUAUAUGAAACAUGAUUGUCAUAGACAUCUUAGGCUUUAUUUGUUAUAAUGGAAUAGAUAUCAAAUAUUAAAGGCAUAUAUUGAGGUAGCAUAAUAUGACUUUAUGCAAUAUAAAAGCAUUGACAUCUACCUCUUGUAUAAGAUCCACAAUUAAAAAUUAUAUAAAGUAUUGUAAUGCCACAUAGCACAUAGUUGUAAAUUUAUCCUUCUUCAUAAUUGUAGCUUAACAUGAUUGAUGAAGCAAGAAAAAUAUAAGUCUAAACUAUUUUUAUAUUGAUAUUUAGUGAUAUUUAGGUAGUUCCAUGUUAGAUUUAAUUGAUUGGCAUGGAUAAAGAAUGUCUUGCCUAAAUAUUGAGUUUAUAUCUUUGUGAGCAAGUUAGUGCAAUCAACCUAUAAUUCAAAUACAUUUUAAGCAUCCUUAAGAAGAAAGUACAAUAUUAGAAGACUUAAUACAUAUCUAAGAUAUCAUACACAUUAGCCACACUAAUAAAGUCUUGAAUAAAGAUGAGAUAGGUAUCACCAAAAGAUUUUUUUUAAAAAAGUAAAGAUAGGUAGCUUAAUAGGAUUAAUAUAGGACUUAUGAGUGUAUUUGGCACAUAUCAUUGUGAUCAGUGUGAUCAAUGAUAAGAAAGAUAUAAUAAAAAGAACUUACAAAGAAAACAUGCUAUUGAUUACCUCUAUGACAAGGCAAACAAUAUACAAUAUCUGAUCUUCCAACAAGAAUUUAGCUACAUAUUAUACCUUUAUUGCCACCAAUUAUUUGUAGAGAACUAAAAAGAAAUUUCUUAGUUUUACAAAUAAGGAAUCUUUUGCAAUUAGAAAUAUUAUGGACAUUUGGAUUUUCAUAUAAAGUAUCUUUAAAUCCAUUGGUGUGAUGGUGGUUCCAAAACCUUCACUGUUGAAGAAGGAUGAAAUAUGUGGAUUGAUAAUAUUUAUAAUUUGUCAUGGACCUACAUAUUUAUUUAAAUGAUUAUCAAUAUAAUUAGAUAUAAAUAGGUAAAAAUAGAUUAAUUUCAUAAUAUCUUUUAGUCAAGCUUUUUAGAAGCUUUAUAGAUAUUGCUUUAAUUUUAUAUGUAUUUGUAGUUAAUUAAUAGAUUAGAAACUUAGUCAACAAGUUAGUCAUGUAUUUUAUAUAUUGAUAGCUUAUGAAAUAAGCUAAUUAAGUGGUGCACAUAUAAAAAACUUGUUUUACAAGUUAAGACAUGUGUUUAGAAAAAUCAACACAUGUUGGAGGUUGUAUAGAAUAUUGCCACAUAGCUCCUAAUUAGAUAAUAUAUAUAGAAAUAAGAGUAAAGCCGUCUUCAUUUUUGUUAAUAUCUUUUUUUUUUUAGACUAGUUUUAAGAGUUUAUACUCUUCUUAUUUUUGGAAAUAGCUAUUCUAGUCUUAAUACUAUAUUACUUUUGGAAUGAAUAUUUAUUCUUCUUAAGCUUUACAAGAAUGUUUUAAGAUUAUCCUUAUAUUUAUUCAUAGCCAUGAUAGUUUAAUAAGAAUAUUAAUUGAUUUUUUUUGUCUUAUUUUAGAAGUGAGAAGAUUAUGUCACUUCUAUUGUUGUAUUUUAAAGGUUAAAAAUUAUCUACGUUUAAACAAAAAAAAUAAUUUUCUAAUAUUAAUUUUUUUCUAAAAGAGAGUGAAUCACCUCUCUUUGUGAAAAUUUUCAUUUGAUAUUAGAGAUUGUAGAUUAUCCUCCUCUCAUUUGAUUUUUGGAUUUACUUAGUUUUUUGAAAUAAAAUAUUAAAUUAUAGAUGCUACACUUAGCAAAAAUAAAAUAGAUUUGUAACUUUUGCAAAUCUUCAUGAGCUUGUUGACAUUCUUAAGGUAGAAAUUUCAUACAUCACCAAUGUCAAGCAUUCAAACAUUAUUUCUAUACCUAUGGAAGAAGUUGAGAGUCUAUUCUAAGAAAUUAUGUAAUUGAAAGAAGCAAGUAGAUCAACCUCACAACCAAAUUCAAGAAGUCUUGUUUCUACAAGCAUAAGAAAAACAAGGAUUAGAAUAUUAAAUUUGAUAGAAUAAUUUCAAAUUUUUGAGGAUUUUUGCAAAAAAUUAAGCUUUAUUUAAGAUUGCAUCCUUUCCAAUACUCUAAUGGAUUUAAUAAAGUUAGAUUUAUACACACACUUUUUUUUGGUAGUGUUCUCUUUUUAUUUGUACCUUUGAUAGAAAAGGAUUUAUGGCUCUUUUAUGAUUUGAAUUCAUUCUAAAAAAUAUUUACGGCCAUAUUUGGUGAAAGUGAUCAAGAAAGUGUAAUAGAAACUAAGUUCUUAUCUUUACAAUAAGGAUCACAAUCACCCACCAUAUAUAUUGUUAAAUUUCAAAAUCUCGCUUGAGACAUUAUCAUAUUACGUGAAGUAUGCUUGAAAAUGCAUUAGACACUUGGUUGACAAAAGAAGAAUGGAACUUGCAAUAAGAUGAUUCUAACAACUAUAAUAGAAUCUUAAAUAAACUCCAAUUAAAUUAUAACAAUGCUAAUCAAUCCUUAAUUAAAUUCAAAAGAAGUCUCAAAACUUAUAAAAAAAAUAUGAAGAAAUAAAUAAAUUCAUCUUAAUCAAAUAUAUAAAAUAGAAAUCUUUAAAAAAAUAUCAAAAAUAGAUAUCUUAAUUGAAAUUUGAUCAAAUUCUAAUAUAAUCUUCAAUAAAUACUAAUAAAAUCUUAAACUCAUCUUAAUCAAAUAUUAAUGAAAUUCUAAUGAAAUCCUAUCUAGAUCCUAAUUAAAUCUUAAUCAAAUUUUAGACAAAUUUUUAAAAAAUUCUAAAUUAAAUCUUAAUGAAAUCCUAAUAAAAUAUUAUCUAAAUUCUAAUAAAAUCUUAAUCAAUUUCUAAUAAAUAUUAAUCAAAUACUAAAUCCUAACCAAAUUUUAAACCAAAUUUUGAACAAAUCCUAGUUAGAUCCUAAUCAAAUUUUAAUAAAAUCUUUGAACCAUUGAUUUUGACUAGAAUUCAAUACUUAAUGCUUGAAUCAUUGAUUUUGAUUCAAAAUUUUUAAACUUUUAAAAAACUAAAUUAACAAAAAUUAUAAAAUAUUUAAAGAAGAUCGUACAUAUCAAUUACAAGAAAAGCUCUCAAAACCUCUCGAUUGUUGGCUACCUUCUUCCUUCAGCUUAAAUGUUGAACUAUCAAAAAAACUUUCUCUUUGCUAAAUCAUUAAAUUACUCUAUAAUUUGAGUCAUGUGUAUAUAUUCAAGUCUAAAAUUUUCUUACUAAUUUUUACUUCAAUCAAAUUAGCAAAUAUUGCUAGAUUGCAAAAUCCUUCACUAAUCCUAAAUCUCAAUUAUUCAAGAUCAUAACACACAAAAAGUCUUAUACUCUUCAAUCUAAGUACUUGAUUGACCUCAAAUUUCUUACACAUUUAAAACAAACACAACAAUAAAUUAUCAAAUUUUUACCCACAUACAUACUACAAAAUUCAACAAAUCUUCAAAUUUGUAAACAUAUUUUUAUUUCUUAAAAUCUAAAUCCACCAAGUAUAAUAUUAAAUUUUAAAACCCUUCAAAAACUUAAUAUUAAUUAAAAUGACAUGAAAUCAACUUUCAAAAAUCUCUUCUCUAAUUUUUUCUCAAAUUUCAUUCUUUUUUUGACAAAAGAAUCAUAAAAAUAGUAUAAGUACUCAAUUUUAUACUUCAAGAUUUGAUUUCGGCCUUAGUUGACAAUUGGUCCUCUUCAAGUAUUAAUUAUUUUUUUCUUGGCAUAAUUUUUAUUAAAAUCAAUUCCUAACUAUCUCUUAUAUAUGCAUAUAUCUAUUAUUUUUUAAUCUUUUUUAUUUUUUCUAUUUAUGGCCAUAAAAAUAAAUAGAAUAUAUUUUUAUAAAAGAAAUUUUUAAUACCACAUGAUUUUACUACCUUCCUAACUUUUAUUUAUAUUUUUUUAUUAUAUCUUUUAAUUAGAUUUAUCUAUAAUAAAAUAAUUUUUAUUUCUUUCACCUAAUAGUUAUGUUAUUAUACAUAAAUAUAGAUUAAAAUAACAAAGCUUUUAUGAAUUAAUUUUGAUAUGGUAUCACAAACAUACAUAUUUGCUUUAAUAUUUACCUAUAUGAUUCAAUAGAAGUAGAUAAAAGUAAAUUAAUUUUAUAAGAUUUUUUAGAGAAGCUUUUUAGAAGCUUCAUAGAUGUUCUUUUGACUUUACAUGUGUUUUUAGUUGAUUGGUAGGUUAGAAACUUAGUCAAUAAGUUAAUUACAUAUUAGUAGCUUGUAGAACAAGCUAACUAUGUAUUACUUAUAUAAAAAACUUGCCUUGUAAGUUAAAAAUACAUGUCUUGUACAAUCAACAUGUUUUGAAGGUCCUACAAGACAUUGUCAUAUAGUGCUUAGUUAAAAGUAUAUAUGGAGGCAAGAGUGAAGCCUUCUUCUCUCUUAUCAAUACUUUUUUAGUCUUUAGUCUUGUUUCAAGACUUUCUAGUCUUUUUGUCCUUGGUAAUAGCCAUUUUAGUUUAAUACUAUAUCAUCUUUGAUUGAUUUUUUGAUCAUUUUAGGUGAUAUAAGAGUGUAUUGAUAUUUUAAUUUUUUGAGGUUCAUGUCCUUGAACAAGGAUUGAUAUGCUUGAAAAUAUUGAUGGAAUAAGAUCAAAAUUUUCAAGAUUUUUGCAAUAAGUCAAGCUCUAUGUAACGUUGCAUCCCUUCCAAUAUCUUGAUGGAUUUAUUCAAGUUAAAUUCAUAGGCACACUUUUAUCUAGAAAUAUUCUUUCUUAGUUUGUACUUUUAAUAGAAAAAGAUUUAUAAUUCUUUUAUGAUUUGAAUUCAUUCAUAGAAGUGUUUAUGGCCACAUUUGAAAAAUAUAAUAAAAAAAGAAUAGCAAAGACUAAGUUCUUAUUUUUAUAACAAAGAGUAUGGUCAGCCACCAUAUAUGUUGCUAAAUUCUAAAAUCUUACUUGCAAUAUGGACUAAAAUAUCAAAGCCUUUAUUAAUUAAUUUUAAAAUAGAUUAAAAGAUAAUAUCAAAUAUUUAUUAAUAAUAAUAUUAAAAGAAAAAUCUUUGGAAUAAUUUAUUACUCAAGCCAUUUUAUAUAAAAAUUAAUUAUUUAAAAGGUAUCAAAAAUAAAGAUUUGGAUAGAAAAGAAUAAGACAAGUAAUGAUAGUACCUUUCAAGUUUUCAAAAUUUAAUUCAUCAAGGUCAAAACCAAUGCAAAUUGAUGUGGUAUAUUUUAAAUUUCUUACUAAGCAAGAAAUAUUUAUUUGCAUCAAAAAGGUCUAUACUUAUAUUGUAGAGAAUCAAAAAAUAUUAUUUAAUAUUAUUAAAAGAAAUAAUAUAAUUACAAAAUAAAGAAUAUGGUUGCCAAACAAGACAAUGUAUCAAAAAAAAAGUCCCUCUAGCUAUAAUAAUGACCAUGUGGCUAGAGUCUUAUGUAAUUUUUAUUAAAGGUCCUAUUCUUUCUUGAGAUCUUUUAUGUUGUUUUAUAAUAGAAGUUUGUUUAGGAUCAAAAAUCAUAAAGUCUUAGCCUUGUUGAAUUCAAGAGCCUUACUCUAUUUUUUAGACAAAUACUUUAUCAAAAAAUAAGAUAUAUCAUUAGUUAAGAUAAUCAAAUCUAUCCAUGUAAAAGUAAUAGAUAAUUGUUUAUUAUUUUUUGGAGAUGUUAUAUAUGAAACUAUUCCUAUAGAAGUAACAAUUAGAAGUUAUAAUAGUUUGAUAAUAUUUAAUGUAAUUAGAUCUCUUUUCAAUCUAAUUAUUUUAGAUUAUUAUAGUUAAAAAAAUAUAACUCUUUGAUAGAUUGGAUUUCUUACAAUCUUGAUUUUUUCUAUAGUUUAAUCCAAUAUUUUGCUAGGUAAAUAGAAAUUCAUAAGAUCAAUACAUCUAAACUAUUAUUGAUAGGAGCAAGAAUUUUCAUGCAUGCUACAAAAGAAGGGUCAACUUUUGUUAUAUAUGCCAUACCAAUUUUUUAUAGAAAAAAUAUUUCAAGUAGCAUUCUAAGCUAAUAUCAAGAUUAUAAAAAUAUAUUUUAAAAAAAAAAUAUAGAUAUUCUUUCAAAGCAUUAUUUUUAUGAUUGUUCUAUUGAUAUUUAAGAAACAGCUCAACUAUGAAUUGGACCAAUUUAUAGCCUAUUAUAGAACAAGUUGGCUACACUCAAAGAAUACAUUGAUGAAAAUUUGGCUAAAAACUACAUACUCCAUUCUAAAUCUCUAAUCGGGACUCCUAUUUUGUUUGUGAAGAAAAAAGAUAGAUCUUUGUGGAUACGUGUAGACUAUGAAGGACUCAACAAGAUCACUAUUAAGAAUAGAUACCUUCUACUCUUAAUUUCAAGACUUUUUAAUCAAUUGAAUCAAGUAAAAAUUUAUACAAAAAUAGAUCUAUAAAAAACUUAUAAUCUAGUAUAUUUUUUAAAUCAAGUAUAGGUAUUUUAAAUAUAAUGUCAUGCCUUUAAGACUCAUAAAUGCAUCAAUUGCUUUUCAAUAUAUAAUAAAUGUUAUUUUUUGUAAAUUUCUUGAUAAUUUUAUUUUGUGUUAUUUAGAUAAUAUCUUAAUUUAUUCUAAGAAUAUAAAAGAGUAUGAACUUCAUGUUUUUUGUGUGUUACAAAAAUAAGAGAUAUAAGAUUAUAUACCAAGUUAGAAAAGUGUUUAUUUCACACUACUCAAGUUGACUUCUUAGGAUACAUUAUUUCAAACAAUGGUCUUAUGAUGGAUCCUGAAAAGAUCUAAACUAUCAUAAAUUAGAAGAUCUCAAAAGCAAUAAAAGAUAUGCAAUGUUUUUUUAAGAUUUGUCAAUUAUUACCAAAUCUUUAUUAAGAAAUUUUUUCAAGUUAUAAUCUCUCUUACAUACUUGAUAUGUAAAAACAAACUUAAGUAGACUAAAGAAGUUGAAGCAUUUUUUGAAGCUUUGAAGAGAACAUUUAUUUCUCUACCAAUCUUCUAUUGUAUCAAUUUUUUGAAGGCAUUCUUUAUGGAAAUAGAUGCAUCAAACUUUACUAUGGAUUUUUUUUGUCACAAAUAGAAGCAAAUGACAAGCUCUACUUAAUAGCUUUUUAUUUUAGAAAAUUUUUAGCAACCAAAAUUAAUAAUAAAAUCUAUAAAAAAGUAUUUUCUAUAAUUGUGGAUUUAUUUUAAAAAUGGUGUCAUUAUUUAGAAGGCCCUUUUAAUUCAAUUACUAUAUAUAUAUAUAUAUAUAUAUAUAUAUAUAGAUUACAAGAGUCUUGAGUACUUUAUAUUAGUAUGUAUUUUAAAUUAUUGUCAAACACGUUGGAACAUGUCUUUAUAAUAAUUUGAUUUUAAAAUUACUUAUCAAUCCAAAAAACAACAAGAUUUAUUAGACGCCUUUUUUAAAAAUUCUUAUCUUAUACCAAAAUAAUGAGACUCAACUUUUGAUCAACAAAGCAUAAUCCUCCUGAAGCUAGAGCAUUUUCAUCUUUGAGUAUUAAAAUCAAUAUUGAUUGUUGAUUCAACCUUUGUUAAGAAAAUUCUAUUAAAUAUGUCUUUUUAUCUUCUUGUUCAUGAUAUCAAGAAUAAUUCUUUUAAGUCUCAUAAUACUUCUAAGUUUGAAUUCAAGAACAAUAUAUUCUAUUUUGAGGGAUGAUUAUAUAUUUUAAAAGAUGAAGGGCAAUUACAUGUUCUUUAAGUUCUUCAUAACUUUCUAACAAAAAAAUACUUUAAAUAUAAUAAGACUUUAAAGCUAAUAUUAAGAGAUUUUUGGUAGCUUCAAAUGUAGAAGGUAGUUAAAGACUUUGUACAAUCAUAAGAUAUUUUUUUAAGAUCAAAAACUUCUCAUCAUUAAUCUCAUAGACUUCUUUAACAAUUCUCAAUUCCAAAACAACCAUGGUCUUCUGUUUCUAUGGAUUUUAUUAUAGAUCUUCUAGUUUCAAGUCCAUAUAAUUUUAUAUUUAUAAUAUUAGAUCAUUUUGUUCAGAUGACAUAUUUUGUAUUAUGUAUUAAAUGAAUCAUAGGUGAAAAAAUGGCUAAAUGUUUUUUUGACAAUAUCUAUCACUAUCAUAGAUUUUUUGAGGAUAUUAUAUUAGAUAUGAGGACUCAAUUUGUAUCAAGAUUCUAAAGAAUUAUUUUUAAGAUUCUAAAUCUAGAUAUAAAACUUUUUUUAGCUUUUUAUCUUAAAAAUAAUAGGUAAACAAAACAAAUGAAUUAAUUUUUGAAGCAAUAUUUGAAAUAUACUAUCAACUAUCAUUAAGAUGAUUGGAUAAUUCUUUUGCCAUUAAUAAAGUUUUAUUAUAGUAAUAUAAUAUAUUUUUUUAUUCAAUAAAUAUCUUUUUUUAAUAAUUAUGGUUAUCAUCUACAAUUUGAUACUUUUGACUUUUCAAAAGGUGAUAAUCCUAUAAUAGAAGAUUUGAUAAAUUUUUUAUCAAAGCUAUUUGCAACAAUAAAUGCACAAUUAAAAGAAGCUCAAGAAUAAUAAAAGAUCAAUGAGGAUGCCUAUUACAAGAAACAACUACAAUUUUUUUAUGAAUAAUAAGGUAUGAUUACUUCUUUGUAAUAUUAAGACUAUUUAUUCUUAUGACAAGUAGGCCUAUUAUAUUUUCCUAUUUAUAAAUAAGUCAAUCCUAUUACUUAUUGAUUAUAACUAUUGGAGUUUAUGAAGAUCCAUCUUAUAUUCCAUAUGUCUCUUUUUAAGCCAUAUAAGACAAUAAAUAUCUUAAAAAAAAGAAAAAUACCACUUUCUCCUAUAAAAAUAGAUAUUAAAUAAGAAUUCUAGGCAAAAGAAGUUUUGGAUUCAAGGUGGCACCAAAAUAGAUUAGAAUACUUUAUUCAUUGGCAUAGAUAUGAUGUUAGUGAAUGUACAUAGGAGCUAUCAAAGAAUCUUGUAAAUGUUAGAAAGAAGAUUGGAAUUUUUCAUUGAUAACAACUAUCAAAACUACAAUGAAGAAUAGAAAAUCUUUACUAUAAAAGAAACAAGAUUUAGAGAAGACAGCAUGCUACCUUCUACUUUUGUUUAUAAUUUUUGUACAUUUGUAAUGCUAAGGAGAUUGAAAAUCAAAAACUAGUAGAUUCAAUUCAAGAGCUAUUACUUAUUGACUUAUUUAAGGAGAUAUUACAAUUAUUACAACCUUCAAGCUGAUGUAAUUAAAAUAAAGAUCUACAAGAAUAAUAUGUCUUUUCUCAAAUAAAUGGCAAGAUACAAUGUGUUUGAUAUCACGACCUUGGAAGAGACUCUUAAUAUUUGGUGAUUUUAUUAGAAGUAACAACAACUCCUAAUAGUAUUCUAAAUUUUUUAUUUGAAGGAAGUUAUAAAGGCCUCAACAAUAAUUAAAUAAUAGAGUGGUCUUCCUACCCUAGUAUGAGAUACUAUUAAUACAUGACAUGACCUAUCAACUAUCUCAAGAAAACAAACAACAAAGUAUGUAGCAAACACAAUUCAUUACAUCUUGAAUUUCUUCAAUAUAUGAUGAUUGUUCUUCAUAGAAUUCAUUCCUAAAAGAGAGGGUAAUAUCAAGAACAUACAUAUUUAUUUUAUAUUUAUCUAUAUAAAUAAGUAGAAGUAGAUAAAAAUAUUUUUUUUUUUAAUAUCUUCUAAAGAAGCUUCUUAGGAGCUUUGUAGAUGCUGCUUUGGCUUUAUAUAUGUUUCUAGUUGAUUAAUAGGUUAUAAAUUUGAUUAAUAAGUUAAUUACAUAUUAGUAGCUUAUAAAAUAAGCUAAUUAUAUAGUGCACAUAUAAAAAACUUAUAUUGCAAGUUAAGAAUAUAUAUUUAACAAAGUCAACAUAUUUUAGAGGUCAUAUAGAACAUUGUCUUAUAGCUCUUAAUUAUUAGUAUAUAUAGAAGGAAGAGUUAAUCAUUUUUCACUCUUGUCAAUGCCUUUCUUGUCCUUAGAUUUGUUUCAAGACUUUCUAGUUUUUUUUUGUCUUUGGCAAUAACUGUUCUAGUUUAAUAUUAUAUCAUCUUUGAGUUUUUUUUUAGCCUUUUUGAAUGACACAAGAAUAUAUUGAUAUUUUAGUUCUUUGAAAUUUAUAUCCUUGAUAUAUGGAUUGAAAAAUAAUUUCAAUUUUUUUUAUUAAUAAUACCAAAAUUAAAUUUUUUUAAAACAAAUUAUUGCUCAAGCUAUUAUAUGUAACAAUCACUUAUUUAAAAGUUAUCAAAAACAAAGAUUUGGCUAAAGAGGAACAAGUCAAAUAAUAAUAGUAGCUCCUAAUUUUUUAGAAAAUUAUUCAUGAAAGUUAAAACUAAUGCAAAUUAAUACAAUAUGUUUUAAAUCUUUCACUGAGCAAAAAAAGAUUCAACGUCAUCAAAAAGGUUUGUACUUAUAUUAUGGAAAAGCUAAGCAUACUACUUGGUAUUAAUCCAAGAAGCAAUGUAAUUAUAAAAUAAAGAGCAUGGUUUUUAAAGAGACUAUAUGUCAAAAAACAAGUUUUUCAAAUUACAGUAGUGAUCUUAUGGCUGAAAUCAUGUGCAACAUUUAAUAAAGGUCAUUUUUUCUCUUCAAAUUUUUUGUCCUACUUUACAAUAGAUGCACAUUUAGGACCUAAAAAUCACAAAGCUUUUUAAGUUAACAAAGAACAUUGAUCCUAUGAUUGUUCAAUUUCAUCUUCAAGAAAGAGCUCAACUGCCAUUUGGACCAUUUGACAAUUUAUUACAAAAUAAUUUGGCUAUAAUAAAAAAAAUAUAUUGAUAAGAAUUUGGUUGAGAACUUCAUACAUUAUUCAAAAUUUUCAGCAAGAGUUCCUAUCUUAUUUGUAAAGAAAAAAGAUGGAUCUCUAUAGAUAUACAUAGAUUAUUGAGGAUUAAAUAAGAUCACCAUAAAAAAUGGAUAUCUCUAACCUUUUGUUUCAAGACUUCUUGACCAAGCCAAUGAAGCAUCAAAAUUACAAGAUGAAUAAAAGACUAUUUUUUGAACUAGAUAUGGUCAUUUUGAAUAUAAUAGCAUAUCUUUUGGACUUACAAAUAUAUCAGCCACUUUUUAAUAUCUCAUGAAUGAUAUUUUUUAUGAAUUCUUUGAUGAUUUUAUUAGAAUAAAAACUUCAUGUUUAUUGUAUCUUACAAAAACUUAAAGAUGCAAGAUUAUAUGUUAAGAUAGAAAAGUAUGUAUUCUACACUAAUUGAGUUGACUUUUUAAGGUACAUCAUUUCUAAUGAAGACUUAAUGAUGGAUCCAAAGAAGACCCAAACUAUCAUAAAUUGGAAGAUUCCAAAGACAAUAAGAGAUAUGCAAUGUUUUUUGGGCUUUGCCAAUUACUACCAAAUCUUCAUCAAGAACUUUUUUCAAGUUGCAAUUCUAUUUAUAUGUUUGAUUUGUAAAGAAAAACUUGAAUAGAAUAAAGAAAUAGAAGCUUUGUUUGAUACUUUGAAGAAAAAAAUUACUUUUAUACUAAUCUUAUAUCAUAUCAACUUUUUUAAGGUAUUUUUUAUGGAAAUAAAUGUAUUAGACUUUGUCUUUAAUAAAGUAUUAUCACAAAUAGAAGCAAAUGAUAAAUUCCUUUUAGUAGCUUUUAAUUUUAAGACAUUUUUAAUACUAGAGAUCAACUAUAAAAUCCAUAAUAAAGAAUUUCUUGUAAUUAUCGAUUCUUUUCAAGAAUAGCAUUAUUAUUUAAAAGAUGCUUCCAAUCUAAUCACUGUAUAUAUUAAUCAAAAGAAUCUUAAGUACUUUAUAUCAAUGUCAAGAAUAAUAACUUAAUAAAAUCAAAUAAUCAAAUGAAACUUUUUUUUAAGAAGUAUGACAAAAUAGAAGUAAAAAAACAUGUAUAUUAAAAAAAUUGGAAUGGCUAUUGCUAAAAGAAAAAAAUAAAAAAUAAAGACUCUUGAAUCUAUACUAAAGUAAGAAAUGAGUUGACAAGAGUAAAGAAGGCUUCAAUCUUGCCUCUAUAUAUAUUAUCCACCUAAGAGCUACGUGGUGAGGUUCUAUAGGACCUCUAACAUGUAUUGAUCUUGCAAGCCACAUGUUUUAACUUAUAAGUAGAGUUUUUUAUGUAUAUAUUAUAUAGUUAGCUUAUUCUAUAAGCUACCUUUACAUGUAAAAUGUGGUUAAUUUUUUGAGCAAGUUUUUAACCUAAAAAUCAAAUAUAAAUACAUAUAAAAUUAAAACCAUAUCUAUAAAGCUUUUAGAAAGCUUUUCUAAAAUAUAUUAUAAAAUUAAUCCAUUUUUAUCUAUUUUUAUCUACUUUUAUCUAAUCAUAUAGAUAAUUAUUAGAAUAAGUAUGUAUGUCCAUAAUAAUUUAUUUGUAACAUUAUCCACCUUUUUAAGAAUGAGUUCCAUGAAGUGCAAUCAUCAUAUGUUGAGAAAAUCUAAGAUGCAACAAAUUAUAUUUGCCACAUACUUUGAUCUUUAUUCUCUUUAAAGAUCAUUGAUAAGUCUUCUCAACCAUCAAUAAUGUUACAUAUGAAGUUAAAAAGAUUAUCUUGUUAUUUAAUCAUUAUUAAGACUUUCAUAACUUCUUUCAAAUAAAAUAUUUGAAAUAUUGUUAGAAAUUGUUCUUACCUCUAAUAAAAUCACCAAACAUUAGGAGUUCCUUCCAAGGUUGUGAUAUCAAAUAUGUUGUAUCUUGCUAUCUAUUCAAAAAAAUAUAUAUUAUUCUUGACGAUCUUCAUCUUCAUUACGUUGUGUUAAAGAUUCAGAUAAGCACAAUGUCUCAUCCGACAAGUCAACAAACAAUAAUUCUUGAGUUGAAUUUGCUAGUUGUAGGUUCUUCAUUUCCUUACCAUUACAAUAUAUACAAAAACUACAAAUAAGGAUAAAAGUUAGAAUAUUAUCUUCUCUUGAUCUUAUUUCUAUUAUAGCAAAAAUUUGAUUUUCUUCAUCUUAAUUUUGAUAGAUAUUAUUGAUGAAAAGCCUUGACCUUUUUUAUUUCAAUUACAAGAUUUAUUGCUAGCUUCUAUGUACAUUCAAUAAUAUCAUACCUAUACCAAUGAAUAAGAUAUUCCAACCUAUUUUGGUAUUGCUUUGAAAGUAAGUCUUCUUCUAUCUCAAAAUCUUCAUUUUUGUCCAUUUCUAUAGAAGAAGGUGGCACAUGUUUUUUUUCUUGGUAUAUUCAUUGUCUUGUAUGAUUCAUAAAAAGAUAUAUAGAAUAUAUGAUGGAUCUUUAUUCAUUUUAGUAUGUGUAAUUGAUAAGCAAUUAAAUUAUUUUGUUCACAAAUAGAAAAUGAUCUAAACUUACAAUAGUCCAACUUGUCACAAGGGCAAAUAGACUUAAUAUUGUAAUGAAAUAAUCAUAUUCAAUCAUCUACAUUAAAUUAUGGUUGUUCCUUGUAAUAGAUAUUUGUGUUUAUCUUUUGCUAUUCUUCAGCUUUUUGUAAUUGCACCUUCAUUACUGCAUGUAGCUCUGAUAAAUAAUUUGCCAAAUCUUCUACCACAAGAUUAUCAACACUUGAAAAGUCAAAAGCAUCAAGUCAUGGAUAAUAACCAUAAUUAAAAAAAAAUAUUUAAUAAAUAGAAAGGUGUACCAUAUUAUUAUUGGAAAAUUCUACAAAGGACAAAAGAAUUGUAUAAUCAUCUCAUUGGCAGUUGAUAAUACACCUAAAAUAUUGCUCCAAUAUUUGAUUAACAUACUUUUUUUGUCCAUCAAUUUGAAGAUGAAAGGCCAAAGAUAAUUUUAUAUCUAUCUUUAGAAUCUUUAAAAAAAAUUCAAAAUCUUAAUAUAAUUUGAAUCUUCCUAUCUAAUAUAAUAUCCUUCAAUAAACCAUGAUAGCAAUAGGUAUUUUCAAAAAAAAACUUGACUAUUUUUUCACAUGUGAUAGAUUUUGUACAUGCUAUAAAAUAUACCAUCAAUGUAAAAUGACCUACUAUCACAAAUAUAGAAUCAUAUAAACUUGAGACUUGAAGAUCUAUGAUAAAAUCCAUAGAAUUAAAAGACCAUGGUUGUUCAAGUAUGGACAAUGGUUAAAGAUGUCUAUAGGUUCAAUGACAAGGAAUUUUUGGCCUUGAAUAAACAUCAUAUGACUGAACAAAGUCUUUCAUUGCCUUCCACAUUUAAAACUAUUAAAAAUAUUUUAAUAUAGGCUCUAAAGUCUUGAUAUAUCAAUAAUAUUGAGCUGCUAUAAAGUCAUGAUAUGCUUGAAGAAUAUGUUGUUAUAUAGUAUAAUUUUCUAUUUAAAAAUAUAUUAACUAUCUAGUUAUAAAGAGUUUAAUUUUAAUUUAUUAAAUAAGUUUUAAUAAGUGAUGUAUUCUUAUUAUAGAGGCCAAAUAAAUAUAAUAAUAUCAAAAGAUAUUUUAUUAAUAAAAUUCUUUUAUAUUUAAGAAGCUUCAUGCAUAAGGCUUUCUAAAGCAUCUGAAAAUGUCAUAACAUCUUUUGCUAUAUUAAAUUAAAAUAAUUAUUUGCUAGUAAGCUUGAUUUUUAAUAAGCUCAAAGAAAAUCCAUAAUCUUCUUUAAAAAAUCCAUCUUUAUAUCAUAAUUUUUCUAUAGCUCAAUAUCUCCAUUUUUAACAUAUAUAUAAAGUCUUGGCUUCCAAAAUCCCUUUUAUUUUGCAUAAAAUAUCCCAAUUAUAGUAAAAGAUUUUUAAAAUAUUUUUUUCUAUAAAAGAUUUUUUUCUCUAAAUUUUAGAAAUUCAUAUCUCUUAAUCCAACCAUUCAAUUUUUUCAAAUUUUUAAAUAAUCUAUACUUUAUCUUUAAGCUUUAUUACAAAAAAAUAAAAAAUAAAUCUAUUACAGCUCAUCUAGCAUCUUAAAAAUCCUAGCAGGUGCUUUAAAUUCUAAUUUAUUAGUACUCAAGUAAUAUUUUCUUUAUAUUUCAAAAUCCAAAAAUUUAAAUACUAUAAAAUUUAUAUAUAUAAUUUAAUAACAUGAUAACAUACAAAAAAAUUUAGCCAAAAUCUUAUCAAAUUACUCAAAAUAUUGCUCAAAAUACAACCACUAGUAAAUCGGAUUACUUACUAUCCUUAGAUUACAAGUGCUGACUUCAACUUCCUAUAAUUUCUUCAACCUAGCUUAGAAUUUAUCAAAUAGUAUAUGAAAAGUAUAGUCAAAAAAGUACUUUCUUCAAUUCCAGUCGCCAAACUUUCAUUGCUUUCUAUAUGCAUGCAUUAUGUCUAAAAAAAUGACAAUAGGUACCAAACCAAUACCUUAAUUUUGAGCGCCUAUAUUUUUUUAUAAAAAUUCCAACUCACACAAAAUUUAUACCAAAACCAUAGCCAAAAAUUUAAAUUCUUUGAUUCUAGCCUCUUAAGUUUGAAAGACCUCAAAAGAAUAAUCCUAAUCCCUAAUAAGGCCAUGAGUAGCCUCUUUGAAGCCCAUUAGACAUGCCUUUUGAUCAAUAGCAAUGGAGAUUUUUAUCAUCUAUCUCCAUUCAUCCAUAUAGAUGUCUUUAAUAUUCUUUUUGCUACCAAAAUUCCUCUCCAAUCUUUUUUCUUAUAAGAUUUACAUAAUAUAUGCCUUAAAUAUCAAAUAAAAAAAUAAAAUAAGAUUCUAAAAGUCACUAAUAUAUAAUAAAUAUAGCUUUAAAUAUAAAAAAUUAUUAUCAAUAUAAAAUCAACUUUAAUAAUAGUCUUUUUAAACUCACCACUUCAAAAUAAUAAUCUAAAUAUAUUUUGUAACUAACUAAAAUCUAAUAAUAUGGCUCUUAUUACAUUGUAUAGUAAAUUAUACAUUAAAUAUUUAUAUGUAUUAUUUUCAUAUAGUAGCUGAAUCACAGUACAACAAUAUAAACGUGCUUAUUUUUUUGAAAUACAUAAGUGUCUUUGGAAAUAAAAUAGAUUAUUCUUCAAAUCAAACUUAGAAAUAUUAUGAGUCUUAGAAGACCAGUUUUUAAUAUCAUAAAAAAAAUGGAUCAGAGAACAUACUUAAUUUAAUUUAUUUGACAAAGGUUGAAUCAAUAGUCAAUUUUAUUUUACUAUUCAAAAAUAAAAAUGAUCCGACUUCAAGAAAAUUAUUCUUUGUUAAUCAAAAGAUGCGUCUCAUUUUUUUGAUGCAAGAUAAGAAUAUUCAGAAAUGGCAUUUGACAAAUCUUAUUAUUUUUUGAAUCUAUAAAUGACAUUGAAAUCAAAUGUUCACAAAGAUAUGUUCUUAUAGACUUGCAAUAAUUGAAAACAAGUGCUGACAUAAAAUAUUUAAGAUUCUUGUAAUUCGCAUAAAUAAUGACUAGAUUACAAGGGCCUUUUGAUAAUUGCACCAUUUUUAAAACAAAUCCAUAAUUGCAAGUUCUUUAUCAUGAAUCUUAUAGUUGAUCUUGGCUAUUAAAAAUUUUCAUAAAUGAAAAGCUUAUAGGUGAAGUUUAUCAUUUAUUCCCAUUUGUAAUAAUACAACAUCUAAAGUAAAGUUUGAUGUAGCUAAUUCUAUAAAGAAUGGCUUAGAAAAGUCAAUACAAUACAAGAUUAGUACAUAAAUAAAAGUUAUCUUCAAAGCUUUGAAUGUUGCUUCUGCUUCUUAAUUCCAUUAAAAUUUGUCUUUACAAGUCAAACAUGUAAGUGAAGAUGCAACUUUAAAAAUAUCUUUCAUGAAUAUCUAAUAGAAAUUGGUAAAUUUUAAAAAGUAUUAAACAUCUUUUAUUAUUUUUAGAAAUUUUUAAUCCAUAAUAAUUUGAACUUUCUUAAAAUCCAUUAUUUGAAAUGAUAUAUCCUAAAAAGUUGAUUUGAGUAGUGUAAAAUAUAUAUUUUUCUAUUUUGGCAUAGAGUCCUACAUCUCUUAGUUUUUGUAAUAUACAAUAAACAAGAAGUUCAUAUUCUUUUGUGUUUUUAGAAUAGAUUAAGAUAUCAUUUAAGUAAUAGAUAAUAAAGUCAUCUAAAAACUAUCAAAAAAAAUCAUUCAUUAGAUGUUGGAAAGUUGUUGGUGCAUUUGUAAGUCCAAAAGACAUGAUGUUGUAUUUGAAAUAUCUUUACCUAAUUUAAAACGUAGUCUUUUAUUUAUUUCUUUUUUUAAUGUGUAUUAGAUUAUAUGCUCCUUAUAGAUUUAUUUUUGUAUAAAUCUUAGCUUGAUUCAAUUGUUUAAGAAGUCCAAAUAUCAAAUGUAGCGGGUACUUCUUCUUGAUGGUGAUUUUGUUGUAUCCUUCAUAAUUUAUACACAUCCACAAUAAUCCAUAUUUUUCCUUUAGAAAUAAAAUUAAAGCUCUUGCUGGAGAUUUGAAAUGGCUUAUGAAAUUUUUAGACAAUUUUUUUUCAAUAUACUCCUUGAAUUCAACUAAUUAAUUUUACAAUGAACUAUUGAUUGGUCCAAAUAGAGGUGGAGCUCUUUCUUGAAGGUCAAUUGAAGAAUCAUAAGAAUGAUGUUCUGAAAAAAUAUCCACAUUUUUCUUCUCAAAUAUAUCUUUAAAAUCUUGAUACUAGCUUGAAAUACCACUUAAAGUCUUUUUACCUUUAAAAAAAAAUGCAACAUAAAUGACAUAAGAUAAUAUUUCUUUUGCAACAUGCAAAAAAGCUCUUGCACCUAUAAAUAAAAUUUUAGUUGUACUAAACUUAUGACUUUUUACUUGAUUUAUUACACUAUUAGUUAUACUUUUAAAAAAUUCAAGACUAUGAAAAAUCUAAUCUAUUUUACAAUUAUAUUUUUUUAGCCAUGAUAAACCUAAAAUGACUAGAUUAAAGUAAUAUCUAGUAAUAUUAAAUAUUACAAAGCUAUUAUAACCAUUAAUUGUUAAUUCUAUAGGAAGGAUUUUAUGAGUAAUAUCUUGUGAAGAUAAAAGUUGAUCAUCUAUGACUUCUAAGUGAACAAGUUUAGUUUUCUUUACUAAAGAUAUGCUAUGUUUUUUAGCAAAUUCUUCAUCUAAAAAACAUAUUGAGGCUCCUCAAUCUAACAAGCCAAAGACUUUAUAAUAUUUAGGUUCUAAAAUAAUAUUUAUUAUAAAAUAAAGAGAAAAUUUUGUGGAGAGAAUUUUGUAGAGAGAAUAUGACUUUUAUUAGGUAUUGUAUAAGGUUCCAAUUGCAUAAUGUCAAUUAUAGUUGGAUAAACUCACUUUUUGACAUACUAUCUUUUUUGAUAGCUAUACUCUUCAUUUUUUGGUUGUGUCAUUUCUUUGAAUAAUAUUGACUAGUAUGCUUAGAUAUUCUAUAAUAUAAGUAUAAUAUUUUUUAUUAAUAAUGAGUCUUUUUUUGCUUAAUAAGAAGUUUGAAAUAUAUUACAUCAAUUUAUAUAUCUUCUACUUUUAAAUGUAUAUAUUGAGGAGAUAUUGGUAUUGACAUUGAAUUAUAGUAACAUUAAGAUGUGCUUAUUGUCAAGGAUAUGAACUAAAAGAUGAUGCAUAAACCAAUGAAAUCCGUGUCAAAGAAAGAGUAACAAAAUACAAAUAAGAAAGUACGUAUAUUAAAAAGAAAUUGGAAUGGCUUAUUACCAAAAGACAAAGAAACUUGAGACUCUUGAAACUAGACUAGAAGCAAGAAAGGAGUUAACAAGAGUGAAGAGGGCUUCACUCUUGUCUCUAUAUAUACUAUCUAAUUAAAGGCUACAUUGUCAUACUGUAAUUGCUUACAGUAUGUAAAAAUUAAUUAAAAUAUAUAAUAUGUUUGUAAGUCUUGAUGUAGAUUAGAGUGAUUAGUAAAUGAAUUUAAAGAGAAUUGAUAUAAGAAAAUUUCUUUAGAGAUUUAUCUAUUUUGAUUAUAGUGUUUAUAUUAUGUAGGAUUUAGAUAUUUAAUAUAAAGCUUAACAGAAGGUUGGGGCCUAAAGAAGAAAAUCUUGACUAAUAGGAGGCUUAUUGGAAGGGAUGAAAGCAAGGUAUGGUUGGAUAAAGGCAAAGAAUGGGAAACUUCAUUCCUAUUGAUCAAAGGCCAUGCCCAAUGGGCUUCAAGGAGGCUGCCCGAGGUCUUAUUAAGGAUUAGGAUUUUUCUUUCGAAUUCAUUCGAGCUUUGGAGGCUAGAAUCAAAAAGUUCAAGAUUUUGGGUAUAAUUUGGAUGAAGAGUUUGUGUGAUUUCGAGUUUUUGUGAAAGAGAUAUAGAUGUUCAAAGUUAAGGUAUCAAAUUUGUACCUACUAACACUCUUUGAAGUAUAACAUAUGCGUACAGAGAGCAAUGAAAGAUCGACAAUUGAAGUUGGAGAGGACACUUUCUUGACUACACUUUAUAUGUACUGUUUGAUGAAUUUCAAGUCUAGAUGAAGGAGUUAUAGACAUUUGAAGACAACACAUGUAAUUCAAAGGCAGUAGAUGAGUCAUUUUGUUGAUAGUAAUGGUUGGAGCCAUAUCUUGAGUUUUUAGACAAAUUUUUGGCUCAAAAUUUCCAUAAAUAUGUGUUAUUAAGUUAAGAAGCUAUAAAUCAAAGUUUCAUGAUAUUUUACUUAUUUUGUGAGAUAUGAAGAAAUUAGCAUGUCGAUAUAAGUAAGCUAGGGUUUAAAGCUAUUGCUAGGAUUUUAGUGAUAUCUCAAGAUCCAUAACGAAUUUGUAGUUGAUUUUUUUUGUGAAAGUUUUUAAAAGUAUAUUAGUACUUCAUAUAAAAUUUAAAGUUGUUUGGAUGGUCCGAUCGUGAGAUAUGAGCUAUUGAAGUUUGGAAAACAUCUCUCAUAAGGAUAUAUAAGGUUUUAAGAUCUUUAUCAUACAUUUGGGUGUUUUCUUGGUACUUGGGCUUGUGUUUUGAUGUAAUUGCCCAAAAAGAGAAAAUAUUAUAUGUAUAAACUUGGUUUUUUAUAUCUUAGACUUGAUUGAGUAUUUAGUGGUAGCCAGAAGCCCAGCGCUUUCUUGAGGCAAACUCUCUCUACUCCGACAAUGUGGUGAUGUUCUAUAGGACCUCCAAUAUGUGUUGCUUUAUAGGACACAUGCCUUAACUUAUAAGAUAAGUUUUUCUACAUGUGGGCCACAUAGUUAGUUUGGUCUUCAAGUUAACAACAUAUGUGGUACAUGGCCAACUUGUUGACCACUUUAGUAAUCCAAAAAAUCAAUUAUAGACACCUAUAAAGUCAAAACAGCAUCUAUGAAGCUUCUAAAAAGCUUUUGUAGAAGAUAUUAUAGAACUAACUUACUUUUAUCUACUUCUACUUAUUUCUAUAUAUUUAUACAAAUAAUUAUUGGCUUACAUGUAUAUGUCCAUGACAUUACUCCCUCUUCAAGGGAUGAGUUCCAUAAGGAGCGGUCAUCAUAUGUUGAAGAAAUCUAUGAUGCGAGAAAUUAUAUUUGCCACAUAUUCAGAUCUUUAUUCUCUUUGAAGAUGGUUGAUAGGGUCUCUCAACUAUUGAUAGUGUCGCAUACCAAGGCGAAAAGACCACCUUAUUAUUUGAUUGUUGUUGAGGCCUUCAUAACUUUCUUCAAAUAAAAUAUUUGGAACACCAUCAAGAAUUAUUCCUACCUCUAAUAAAAUUACUAAACAUUUAGAAUCUCUUCUAAGAUUGUGAUAUCAAAUAUGUUGUAUUUUACCAUCUAUUCGAGGAAAAAUAUGUUAUUCUUGAAGAUCUUCAUCUCGAUUUCAUCGUCUUGAAGGUUGUAACAAUCAUAAUGUCUCGUCCAACAAGUCAAAAAAAGAAGGUUCUUUAAUCAAAUCCGCUGGUUGUUGGUUUUCUAUCCCUUUAGUGUGACAACUACAAAGAAGCUACAAACAAGGAUUGAGAGUAGAAUGUUAUCUUACCAAGAUCUUGUUUCUUUUAUAUGAAAGGUUAUCAUCUUGAUUUUGAUGGAUGUUGUCGAUGAAAAGCCUCCACCACCUUUGCUAUAUUUGUAAGAUUUUUUACUAGCUCUCAUGUACAUUCACUAAUAUCAUAUCCAUACCAAUAGAUAAGUUAUUCAAAUUUAUUUUGACAUUGCCUUGAAUCUAGGACUUCUUCCACUUCGAACUUUUUAUUAUUGUCCACUUCUAUAGGAAGAGAUAGAGCUUGUCUUCUUUUUGAUUUGUCUACUAUCUUAUAUAGUUCAAAAAGAGACAUGUGGAAUAUUGGAUGGAUUUUUAUUAACUCUAAUAGAUGUAAAUAAUAUGCAACUGAAUUGAUUUGUGCAGAAAUAAGAAAUGGUCCAAGCCUACAAUAGUCCAACUUGUGACAAGGAUGAGUGGUCUUGAUAUUGCGACAAAGUAACUAUAUCUUGUCAUCCAUGUGGAAUGGUAGUUAUUUCUUUCGAUAGACAUCCACAUUGAUCUUUUGUUGUUCUUGAGUUUCUUUUAAUUGUACCUUCAUUGUUACAUGUAGCUCUAACAAAUGAUUUGCCAAAUCUUCUGCCAUAGAAUUAUCAAAUUUUGAAAAGUCAAAAGUAUUAAGUUAUGGAUGAUAACCAUAAUUGGCAAAGAAAGGUGUUUAUUUUGUAGAAGAAUGUAUCGUAUUAUUAUAAGUAAACGCUGCCAAUGACAAAAGAAUUGUCCAAUCAUCUUAUUGGUAGUUGAUGGUACAUCUUAAAUAUUAUUCCAAGACUUAAUUAGUACGCUUCGUUUAUCUAUCAGUUUGAGGAUGGAAUGCCGAAGAUAAUUUUUUAUCCACUUUUAGAAUCUUGAAAAGAGUCUACCAAAAUCUUGAUACAAACUGAGUUUUCCUAUUGGAUAUAAUAUCCUUAGAUAAUUUAUGAUAGCAAUAGAUGUUAUCAUAAAAGAGUUUAGCUAUUUCUUCACCUUUGAUAGAUUUUGUACAUAGUACAAAAUGUACCAUCUUAGUAAAACGAUCUACUAUCACAAAUAUAGAGUCAUAAGAAUCUGAGAUUGGAAGAUUCGUAAUAAAAUCCAUAGAAACAAAAGACCAUGGUUGUUUUAGAAUAGGUAAUAGUUGAAGAAGUCUGUAAGGUCAAUGAUGAGGAAUUUUUGACCUUGAACAAAUGUUGUAUGACUAAAAAAAGUCUUUCACAUUCUUCUACAUUUGUCGCCACCAAAAAUCUUUGGAUAUAAGCUUCAAAGUCUUGUUGUAUCCAAAAUGUCCUAUUGUUGAAAAGUCAUGAUGUGCUUGAAAAAUACAUAAUCGUGCUUCUCUUCUUGGAACAUAUAAUUGAUCUUUAAAAUAGAGUAGGUUGUUUUUAAACUCAAACUUAGAAGUAUCUUGGAACUUAAAAGAAGGAUUUUUGAUAUUAAGAAUAAGAGGAUCAAAAGAUAUACUUAAUUGGAUUUAUUUUAUAAGGGUUGAAUCAACAAUCAAUGUUGAUUUCAUUACUCAAAGAUGAAAAUGCUCUGGCUUCAAGAGAAUUAUUCUUUGUUCAUCAAAAGAUACAUCUCUUUCUUUUGGUGCAAGAUAAGAACAUCUAGAAAGGGCGUCUCACAAACCUUGUUGUUUUCUAGGUCGAUAUGUGAUCUUGAAAUCAAAUCCUGAUAAAGACAUGCUCCAAUAAACUUAGAAACAAUUUAAAAUACGUGCUAACAUGAAGUACUUGAGAUUCAUAUGAUCUGUAUAUACAAUGAUUGUAUUAGAAGUGCCUUCUAAAUGAUGAUGCCAUUCUUGAAAUGAAUCCUUCGAUUGUAAAAAGUUCUUUGUCAUAGAUUUCAUAGUUAAUCUCAGUUGCUUAAAAUUUUUUGGAAUGAAAAGCUACUUGGUGAAGUUUAUCAUAUGUUUCCAAUUAUGAUAAUAUGGCACCCAAAGCAAAGUUUGAUGUGUCUGUUUCCAUAAAAAAAUACCUUAGAAAAGUUGAUGCGAUAUAAGAUUGGUGUAGAAAUAAAGGUUGACUUCAAAAUUUCAAAAGAUGCUUCAACUUCUUUGCUCCACUCAAGUUUUUCUUUGCAAGUCAAAUAUGUAAGUAGAGCUACAACUCGAGAGAAGUCUUUGAUGAAGAUCCAAUAAUAGUUGACAAAGCCCAAAAAGCAUUGGACUUAUCUUACCAUUUUUGGAAUCUUUCAAUCCAUAAUUAUUUGAUCUUUCUUAGGAUCCAUCAUAAGUCUAUCAUUUGAAAUGAUAUAUCCUAAGAAGUCGACUUGAGUAGUGUGGAAUAUACACUUUUUUAUCUUGGCAUAGAGUCUCGCAUCUUUUAAUUUUUAUAACACAUAAAAAAUAUGAAGCUUAUGUUCAUUUAUAUUUUUAGAAUAAAUCAAGAUGUCAUCUACAUAACAAACAACAAUAUCGUCUAAAAACUCUCAAAAAACAUCAUUCAUUAGAUGUUGAAAAGCUUUUGGUGCAUUUAUAAGUCCAAAAGGCAUGAUGUUGUAUUCAAAAUGCCCAUACCUAGUUCGAAAUGCAAUCUUCCAUUUAUCUCCUUCUUUGAUAUGUAUUAGAUUAUAUGCUCUCCAUAGGUCUAUUUUGUGUAGAUCUUAGCUUAAUUCAGUUGAUUAAGAAGUCCGAAUAUCAAAGAUAGUGGGUAUCUAUUCUUAAUGGUGAUCUUGUUGAGUCCUCAAUAAUCAAUACACAUCUGCAAUGAUCCAUCUUUCUUCUUCACAAAUAAGAUUGGAGCUCCUAUUGGUCAUUUGGAAUGGCAUAUGAAAUUCUUGGCCGGGUUGUCUUCAAUAUAUUCCUUGAGCUCAGCCAAUUCAUUUUGUUAUAAACUAUAGAUUAGUCGAAAUGGUAGUUGUACUCCUUCUUGAAGGUUAAUUGAGCAGUUAUAGGGACGAUGUUCUAAAAAAGUAUCCACAUUUUUUUUCUCAAAUAUAUCUUAAAAUUCUUAAUAUUUGCUAAGAAUGCCACUUGAAGUCUUUGUAUCAUUAGAAACAAGUGUGGUGUAAAUAACACAAGGUGAUCCUCCUUUUGUAGUAUGCAAGAAAGCUCUUAUACCUACAAACAUAGGUUUAAUUGUAUUAGACUUAUAUCUUUUUAUUGGAUUAAUUUCACUCUUAAUUAUGCUUUUAAAGAAAUCAAGGAUUCAAGAAAUCCAAUCUAUACAAGGAUUAUACUUUUUUAACUAUGAUAAAUCAAAAAUUACUGGAUUAGAAGGAGAUCUAAUUAUAUUAAAGAUCAUGCAAGUAAUAUGACUAUUUAUUGUUACAUCUAUAGGAAGUGUUUCAUGAGUAAUAUCUCUAAAAGACAAUGGACGACCAUCUAUGACUUCUACAUGAACAGGUUUGAUUUUUUAUACUAACGGUAUUUUAUGACUUUUAAUAAAUUCUACGUUUAAAAAACAAACUGAGGCUCCUAAAUCUAUUAAGGUGGAAACUUUAUAAUUAUUAAGUCCUAAAUGCAUAUCUAUUAUAAAACAAGGAGAAGGUUUUGAGGAGACGAUAGAACCUUUAUUAAAAAUUAUAUAAGAUUCUAGCUACAUGGUUUCUAUUAUAGCUGGAAAAAUUUGUUUUCCAAAACAUUAUCUUCUUUGACAGAUGUGCUCCUCAUUUUGUGAUUUUAUCACUUCUUUAGACAAUGUUGAGUAGUGUGUUUAGGUUCUCCACAAUAUAAGCACAAUCCUUCUUGAUGGCAACGAGCCUUUUCUUAUUCAAUAAGAAGUUUAAAAUGUACUGCAUCACUUUACAUAUCUUCUCCUUUUGAAUGUAUGUGUUGAAGAGAUGUUGGUGUUACCAUUGAAUUGUAGUAAUAUUGAGGUCUAUUUAUAUGACUCUUAGAUCGAAAUUCAAAAAAACAAUUGUCACAUUUUUUAGCAAAGUCAAUUGCUUGACUCAAUGUUUGAGGAUCAAGUAAGUUGAGCAUCAAUUUAUUUACUUUAUAUUAUAAUCCAUAGAAAAAUUGACUAAUAAGUGUAGCAUCAUUCUACUUAGUAUUAGUUAUAAGUUAUCAAAAUUUUGAAUUAUAUAAUAUUACAGAUCAAUUACCUUGUCACAAAAUAUGGAUCUUAUUGGUUGCAAUAUGAGUUGCAUCAUGUUUUCCAUACAUGGACCAGAAUUCCACCAAAAAUGCCAUCAGAUUAUUCAAUAUUAGAUCUUGUCAUUCAAAAAAAGAUGAAAACAACGAUAGUGCUGAACUUCAAAGAAAUGUAUCAAUGAAUCUAACUUAUGAUCCUGGAGCUGGAUAGUUUUGAAGUUGAAGUUCAAUCACAAGUUGUACUUGAUUGAUAAAUCUUCAAAAUUUGGAUCUUAUAUCAUCAAACUUCUCGAGCAAAGAAACUCUUGGUUCUCUAAUACUUGAAGGAUGUUCCAUCAUCGGUGGAGGGACAUGAUUUGGUGCAGAUGUUGAAGCAGCUUUAAUCAUCUCUAUAUCCUCACUUCCUACCAUUCUUGUUAAUCCUUGUGGUGGUAAGCUAAGUUGAUGCAUUGUAAGCAUCAACUCUCUCAAUUACUCUUGCAUUUGUACUAUUGCACUCUUCAUUUCAACAAAAUCUAUUGUAAUAAUACUCAAAAAAAUAUCUAAUACCGCUCAAGACAAAUAGAACAAAAGACUUGAGGACAAAGAAAAUACCAAGAAUAAUAUCAGUUUAGAAGAGGGUAAUCUAUAACUUCUAAUAUCCUUAUGUCUUAUCAUGAAAAAGGAAUAAUUCACUUUUAAUCAAGACAAUAUAAAGCUCUAAUAUUGUAAGUGUACUCUUGUCAAUUUUUCAAGAACAUGAACUAAAAGGUGAUGCAUAAACCAAUGAAAUCUGUAUCAAAGAAAGAGUAACAAAAUAGAAAUAAAAAAUUACAUAUAUUAAAAAGAAACUAGAAUGUCUUAUUGCCAAAAGACAAGAAAACUUGAGACUCUUGAAACUAGAUUAGAAGCAAGAAAGGAGUUGACAAGAAUGAAGAGGGCUUCACUCUUAUCUCUAUAUAUACUAUCUAAUUAAAGGCUACGUAGUGAUAUUCUAUAGGACCUCUAAUAUGUGUUGACUUUAUAGGACACAUGCCUUAACUUACAAGGUAAGUUUUUCUACAUGUAGGCCAUAUAGUUAGCUUAGACUUCAAGUUAACAACAUGUGUGGCACAUGGUUAACUUGAUGAUCACUUUAAUAAUCCAAAAAGUCAAUUAUAGACACCUAUAAAAUAAAAACAGCAUCUAUGAAGCUUUUAGGAAGUUUCUAUAAAAGAUAUUAUAGAAUUAAUUUAUUUUUAUCGACUUCUACUUACUUCUAUCUAUUUAUACAUGUAAUUAUUGGCUUACAUGUAUAUCUGUGAUACUUAAGCAACUCUUAGAAUAAAAUUCAAAAAGUUGAUUGUCACACUUCACAUUAAAGUCAAUUGCUUGACUCAAUUUUUGAAGAUUCAAUAAUUUGAGCAUUAAUUUUUUUAUUUUAUAUUAUAAUCCAAAAAAAAGUUGGAUAAUAAAUACAACAUCAUUUUACUUGUUAUUAAUUAUAAAUUAUCAAAAUUAUAAAUCAUAUCACAUUAGUAAUCAAUUUCUUUAUUGUAAAAUAUGGAUCUUCUUGAUUAUAAUACAAUUAUAUCAUAUUUUUUAUACAUAGAAUGAAACUGUCAAGGACAAGAACUCGAUGAAAAACAAUUCAGACAAGCGAGCCUUCACUCAAAGAGAGGUAACAAAAUAUAUAUAAACAAGUAUAUAUAUUGAAAUAGAAACUGGAAUGGCUAUUGCCAAAAGACAAGAAAACUAGAGACCCUUGAAACUAGACUAAAAGCAAGAAAGGAGUUGACAAGAGUGAAGAAGCCUUCACUCUUGUCUCUAUAUAUACUAUCUAAUUAGGAGCUACAUGGCGACAUUCUAUAGGACCUCCAAUAUGUGUUGACUUUGUAGGACACAUGCCUUGACUUACAAGGCAAGUUUUUCUACGUGUAGGCCACAUAGUUAGCUUGAUCUUCAAGUUAACAACAUGUGUGGCACAUGGCCAACUUGUUGACCACGUUUCUAAUCCAAAAAGUCAAUUAAAGACAUCUAUGAAGUCAAAGCAGCAUCUAGGAAGUUUCUAGGAAGCUUCUAUAUUAAAUAUUAUAGAAUUAACUUACUUUUAUCUACUUUUACUUACUUCCACCUAUUUCUAUAUGUAAUUAUUAGCUUACAUGAUAAUGGCCGUGACAUUACCCCCCCUUCUAGAGACGAGUUCCACGAGGAGCGGUCAUCAUAUGUUGAAGAAAUCUAUGAUGCGACGAAUUGUAUUCGCCACAUACUCUGAUCUCUGUUCUCUUCAAAGAUGAUUGAUAGGGCCUCUCAACCAUCGGUAGUGUCCCAUACCAGGGCGGGAAGACCACCCAGUUAUUUGAUCAUUGUUGAGGCCUUCGUAACUUCCUUCGAAUAGAAUAUUCGGAACACCAUCAGGAGUUGUUCCUACCUCUAACAAAAUCACCAAACAUCGAGAGUCCCUUCCCAAAUCGUGAUACCAAACGCAUUGUAUCUCACCAUCUAUUCGAGGAAGAACAUGUCAUUCUUGAAGAUCUUCAUCUCGAUUGCGUCGUCUUGAAGGUUGUGACAAUCGUAAUGUCUCGUCCGGCAGGUCAACAAACGAAGGUUCUUGAGUUGAAUCCGCUGGUUGUUGGCUCUCCAUCUAAUUAGCAUCACAAAUGCAAAGAAGUUACAAACAAGGAUAGGAAAUUGAAUGUUAUCUUGCCUCAAUCUUGUCUCUUUUAUAAGAGAGAUUUUUAUCUUGGUUUCGAUGGAUGUCGUUGAUGAAAAACUUUGACUUUAGCUGAUGCAUUUGCUAGAUUCCUAGAUGGCUCCCAUGUGCGUUCACUAAUAUCAUAUCCGCGCCAAUGAACAAGAUAUUCCAGUUUAUUUCGGUGCCGCCUUGAGUCUAAUAUCUCUUCCACCUCAAAUUCUUCAUUAUUAUCUACUUCUAUAGAAGGCGGUGGCAUUUGUCUUCUUCCUUAUAUAUCCACUGUCUUAUAUGGUUCAAGAAGAGACACGUGGAAUACAGGAUGGAUCUUCAUUGACUCCGGUAGAUGUAACCGAUAUGCAACUGGGUUGAUCUAUUCAGACUCCGGUAGAUGUAACCGAUAUGCAACUGGGUUGAUCUAUUCAGAAACAGAAAAGGGGCCAAGCCUACGAUAGUCCAAUACCUUAUCACCCACAUUGAGUUGUGGUUGCUCCUUACGAUAUAGAUCUGUAUUUAUCUUUUGUCGUUCUUGAGCUUCCUUCAAUUGCGUCUUCAUUAUUGCAUGUAACUCUGACAACCGAUUUGCCAUAUCUUCUGCUGCAGGAUUAUAACUCUGACAACCGAUUUGCCAUAUCUUCUGCUGCAGGAUUAUCAACUUUUGAAAAAUCAAAAGUAUCAAGUCGUGGAUGAUAGCCAUAAUUGGCAAAGAAAGGUGUUUGUUGCAUGGAAGAAUGUACCGUAUUAUUAUAAGCAAACUCUGCCAAUGGCAGAAGGGUUGUCCAAUCAUCUUGUUGGUAGUUGAUAGUACACCUUAAAUAUUGCUCCAAGACUUGGUUUACUCGCUCUGUUUGUCCAUCAGUUUGAGGAUGGAAAGCCGAAGAUAGCUUUAUGUCCACUUUUAAAAUCUUGAAAAGGGUCCUCCAAAAUCUUGACACAAAUUGAGUUCCCCUAUCCGAUAUGAUAUCUUUAAGUAAUCCAUGAUAGCGAUAGAUAUUAUCAAUGAAAAGCUUAGCUGUUUCUUCACUUGUGAUAGAUUUUGUACAUGGCACAAAAUGUGCCAUCUUGGUGAAACGAUCUACUAUCACAAAUAUAGAAUCAUAAGAUCUUGAGCUUGGAAGAUCUGUGAUGAAAUCCAUAGAAACAGAAGACCAUGGUUGUUCUGGUAUAGGUAAUGGCUGAAGAAGUCCGUAAGGUCGAUGACGAGGAAUUUUUGAUCUUGAACAAAUAUCACAUGAUUGUACAAAGUCUUUGACUGACUUCCACAUUUGUGGCCACCAAAAAUCUCUUGAUAUGAGUUCCAAAGUCUUAUUAUAUCCAAAGUGCCCUGCUGCUGGAAAGCCAUGACGUGCUUGAAGAACACGUAAACGUGCUUCUCCUUUUGGAACAUAUAGGCGUCCUUCAAAAUAUAAUAGAUUAUUCUUGAACUCGAACUUAGAAGGAUCAUGAGACUUGGAAGAAUUAUUCUCGAUAUCAUAAACAAGAGGGUCUGAGGACAUACUGGACUGGAUUUGCUUGAGAAAAGUUGAAUCAACCGUCAAUGUUGAUUUCAUUGCUCGGAGAUGAAAUUGCUCCGGUUUCAAGAGGACCAUUCUUUGUUGCUCAAAAGCUGCAUCUCCUUCUUUUGGUGCAAAAUAAGAACGUCUAGAUAGGGCAUCAGACAAACCUUGUUGUUUUCCUGGCCGAUAAGAGGUAAUGAACUCGAAUCUUGACAAAGACAUACUUCAACGAGCUUGACGCUGAUUCAACACGCGUGCUGACAUGAAAUACUCGAGGUUCUUGUAAUCUGUAUACACAGUGACUGGACUAGAAGCGCCUUCUAGAUAAUGACGCCAUUCUUGAAAGGAAUCCACGAUCGCAAGAAGUUCUUUAUCGUAGAUCUCAUAAUUGAUCUCGGCUGCUGAGAAUUUUCUUGAAUGAAAAGCUAUCGGAUGAAGUUUGUCAUCUGAUCCCAUUUGUGAUAAAACUGCACCCAAGGCAAAAUCUGAUGCAUCUGUUUCCAUAAAAAAUGCCUUGGAAAAAUCAACACGAUAUAAGACUGGUGCAGAAACAAACGAUGUCUUCAAGGCUUCAAAUGCUGCUUCCGCUUCUUGAUUCCAUUGAAAUUUAUCUUUACUAGUCAAGCGUAUAAGUGGAGCUGCAACUCGUGAGAAAUCUUUGAUGAAGAUCCGAUAGUAAUUGGCAAAUCCCAAGAAACAUUGGACAUCUCUUACUGUCCUUGGAAUCUUCCAAUCCAUGAUUGUUUGGACUUUCUUAGAAUCCAUCAUGAGACCAUCAUUUGAAAUGAUGUAUCCUAAAAAGUCAACUUGAGUAGUGUGAAAUACACACUUUUCGAUCUUGGCAUACAAUCUUGCAUCUCUAAGUUUUUGUAAUACUUGACGAACAUGUAUUUCAUGUUCUUCAACGUUCUUAGAAUAGAUCAGGAUAUCGUCUAGAUAGCAGACGACAAAAUUGUCUAAGAAUUCAUGAAAUACAUCAUUCAUGAGAUGUUGAAAAGUAGCUGGUGCAUUCGUGAGUCCAAAGGGCAUGACAUUAUAUUCGAAAUGUCCAUACCUGGUUCGAAACGCAGUCUUCCAUUCAUCUCCUUCUUUGAUCCGUACUAGAUUAUAUGCUCCUCUUAGAUCUAUUUUUGUAUAGAUCUUAGCUUGAUUCAACUGGUCAAGGAGUCCUGAUAUCAAAGGUAAUGGAUACCUGUUCUUGAUUGUGAUCUUGUUGAGUCCUCGAUAAUCAACACACAUUCGUAAAGAUCCAUCUUUUUUCUUUAUGAAUAGAAUUGGAGCUCCUGCUGGAGAUUUUGAAUGGCGUAUGAAAUUCUUCGCUAAAUUCUCGUUAAUAUAUGUCUUGAGUUCAGCCAUCUCAUCUUGCGAUAAACUGUAAAUUGGUCCAAAUGGUGGCUGAGUUCCUUCCUUGAGGUCGAUUGAACAAUCAUAUGGACGAUGCUCAAGAAGAAUAUCUGCAUUCUUUUUCUCAAAAACGUCUUGAUACUCCUGAUAUUGACUUGGAAUGCCACUUGAAUUCUUUACGUUUUCAAAAAUAGGUGCAGCAUAAAUAGCAAAAGUUGAUCCUUCUUUUGCUGCGUGUAUAAAUGCUUUUGUACCUAUCAGUACGGGUUUUACUAUACUAGACUUAUAAUUUUUUAUUUGGUUCGUAGAACUAUUAAUAACGCUCUAGGAAAAGUCAAGUUUACGUGAAUUCCAAUCUAUUCGAGGGUUAUAUUUUUUUAGCCAGGAUAAACCUAAAAUAACUAGAUUGGACGAGGAUUUAAUUAUGUUAAAAGCUAUGUAGCUAUCAUGACCGUCUAUUGUUACUUUUAUAGGAUGAGUUUCAUGAGUGACAUCUCCAGAAGACAAGGGACGACCAUCUAUGACUUCUACAUGUACUGGUUUAGGUUUCUGUAUAAAGGGUAUUUUACGACUUUUAACAAAUUAUUCAUCUAAAAAACAUGCUGAGGCUCCCGAAUCUAAUAAAGCAGAGGCUUUGUAAUUCUUAGGUCCUAAAUAUAAGUCUAUUAUAAAACAAGGAGAGGGUUCUGAGGAGAGGAUAGGACCUUCAUUAGGAAUUGUACAAGGUUCCAGCUGCACGGUCCCUAUUGUAGCUGGACGAAUCCAUUUUCCGACAUGUUGUCUUCUUUGACCGUCGUACCCCUCAUUUUAUAGUUGCGUCGUUUUUUUGGACAAUGUUGAGCAGUGUGCUUAGGUUCUCCACAAUAUAAACAUAAUCCUUCUUGACGACGAUGAAUCUUUUCUUGCUCAGUUAGGGGUUUAAAACGUACCGCGUCAAUUUGCAUGUCUUCUACUUUCGAAUGUACAUUUGGCAAAGAUGUUGAUGUUGCCAUUGAGUAAUAACGUUGAGGUUCCCGUGAAUGAUUCUCGGAUCGAAAUUCAAAAAGUCGAUUAUCACAUUUUACCGCAAAAUCGAUUGCUUGACUCAAAGUUUGAGGAUCAGGUAAGUUGAGCAUCAAUUUCUUUACUUCGUAUUGCAAUCCAUAAAGAAAUUGACUGAUGAGUGCAGCAUCAUCCUACUUGAUGUUAAUUACAAGUUGUCAAAAUUGUGAAGCAUAUACUGUUACUGAGCGAUUUUCUUGUCACAGAAUUCGGAUCUUAUUUGUUGCAACACGAGUUGCAUCGUGUUCACCAUACAUAGAUCGAAACUCCGCCAAAAAAGCUUCCAAAUUGUCCAAUAUUGGAUUUUGUUGUUCAAGAAAAGAUGAAAACCACGAUAAUGCAGAACCAGAAAGUAGAGUGCCAAUAAACCUGACUUGUGAUCCUGGAGUUGGAUAGCUUUGCGGUUGAAGUUCAAUUGCCAAUUGUACUUGAUUGAUGAACCCUCGAAACUUUGAUCUCGCACCAUCAAAUUUCUCGGGUAAGGCAAUUCUUGGUUCUCUAGUGCUUACAGGGUGUUGUACAAUUGGAGAAGGAACGUGAUUUGUUGUAGAUGUUGAAGCAGCUCCGAUCAUCUCUAUAUCCCCACUUUCUGCCAUUCUUGUUCUUUCCUAUGUUGGUGAAUUGAGUUGAUGCAUCGCAAGCAUUAACUCCCUCAUUUGCUCUUGCAUUUGUGCCAUUGCACUCUUCAUUUCAAUAAGCUCUGCCAUAAUAACACUAAGAAGAAAAAUUUGUUUGAUACAGCUCAAGACAAAAGAAAAGAAAGACUUGAUAACAAAGAAGAUACUAAGAACAAUAUCAGUUUAGAAGUGGGUAAUCCGCAAACUUCCAAUACGCUUAUGUCUUGUCAAGAGAAAGGGGUAAUCCACUCUUACUCAAGAAAAAACAAAGCUCUGAUAUUGUAAAUGCACUCUUGUCAAUCUGUCAAGGACAAGAACUCGAUGAAAAAUAAUUCAAACAAGCGAGCCUUCACUCAAAGAGAGGUAACAAAAUAUAUAUAAACAAGUAUAUAUAUUGAAAUAGAAACUGGAAUGGCUAUUGCCAAAAGACAAGAAAACUAGAGACCCUUGAAACUAGACUAGAAGCAAGAAAGGAGUUGACAAGAGUGAAGAAGCCUUCACUCUUGUCUCUAUAUAUACUAUCUAAUUAAGAGCUACGUGGCGACGUUCUAUAGGACCUCCAAUAUGUGUUGACUUUGUAGGACACAUGCCUUGACUUACAAGGCAAGUUUUUCUACGUGUGGGCCACAUAGUUAGCUUGAUCUUCAAGCUAACAACAUGUGUGGCACAUGGCCAACUUGUUGACCACGUUUCUAAUCCAAAAAGUCAAUUAAAGACACCUAUGAAGUCAAAGCAGCAUCUAGGAAGUUUCUAGGAAGCUUCUAUAUUAAAUAUUAUAGAAUUAACUUACUUUUAUCUACUUUUAUUUACUUCUACCUAUUUCUAUAUGUAAUUAUUAGCUUACAUGAUUAUGGCCGUGACAGAAACUUUAUCAAAAAAGCCUUUAAAUUAUCUAAUAUUAGAUCUCAUCAUUUAAAAAAAGAAAAAAACCAUGAUAAUGGUGAAUCUAAAAGAAAUAUAUUAAUAAAUUUAAUUUACAAUCUUAGAAUUGGAUAGCUUUGGGAUUGAAGUUCAGUCACAAAUUGUAUUUAAUUGAUAAAUCCUUCAAAACUUGGAUCUAUAUAUAUUAUCUAUAUAUAUUAUCUACCUAAGAGCUAAAUAGCAACAUUCUAUAGAACCUUCAAUAUAUAUUGACCUUACAAGCCACAUGUCUUAACUUGCAAAGUAAGUUUUCUAUGUGUAUGCUAUAUAGAUAGCUUGUUUCAUAAUCUACCUACAUAUGUAACACAUGACUAAUUUGUUGACCAAAUUUUUGAUCUAAAAUCAAUUAUAAAUAUAUUUAAAGUCAAAGCCAUGUCUAUGAAACUUUUAAAAAGAUUUUAUAGAAGAUAUUAUGAAAUUAACCUAUUUUAUAUACUUUUAUUUAUUUAUAUCUAAUCAUAUAGGUAAUUACUAGAAUUAAUAUGUAUGUCUGUGAUAGUAUAUUUAUGAUAGUCAAUGUGGGUAUUGAAUUGUUGUCAAUCUUGUUGGAGUAUGUUAUUAUUAAGAUUUGAUUUUAAGAUCACAUAUUGACUUAGAAAACAACUAGGUUUGUCAGAUAUACUCUCUAGACAUUUUAAUCUUGCAUCAAAAAAAAAAAAGAUAUAGUUAUUGAUAAAUAAAAAAUAAUUAUCUUGAAACUUAAGCAAUUUCAUCUUCAAGUAAUAAAAUCAACAUUGAUUGUUGAUUCAAUCUUUGUUAAGAAAAUUUAAUCAAAUAUGUCUUUUAAUCUUCUUAUUUAUAAUAUCAAGAAUAUUUCCUCUAAGUCUUCUGAUACUUCUAAGUUUGAAUUUAAAAACAACCUACUCUAUUUUGAAAGUCUCCUAUAUGUUCUAAAAGAGAAAGCACAUUUAUGUGUUUUUCAAGUACGUCAUGGUUUUCUGACAAUAAGACAUUUUGGAUAUAACAAGACUUUAAUGCUUAUUUUUAGAAAUUUUUAGUGACUAAAAAUAUAAAAAGAUGUGAAAGAAUUUGUACAAUCAUAUGAUAUUUGUUGAAGAUCAGAAACUCCUCAUCAUUGAUCUUGUAGACUUUUCUAACCAUUGUCUAUAUCAAAACAAUCAUAGUUUUUUAUUUCUAUGGAUUUUAUUAUGAAUCUUUUAAGUUCAAGUUUAUAUGACUCUACAUUCAUGAUAGUAAAUUGCUUCACUAAAAUAACACAUUUUGUACUAUGUACAAAAUUUAUUUUAGAUGAAGAAACAAUUAAGUUUUUCUUUGAUAACAUCUAUUCCUAUCAUAGAUUACCAAAAAGAUAUUAUAUCAAAUAGAAGGAUAUAAUUUAUAUCAAGAUUUUAAAAAAUCUUUUUUAAGAUAUUGAAGGUGGAUGUAAAAUUAUCUUUGGCCUUUUAACUUUAAAUUGAUAGACAAACAAAACAAGUGAAUCAAAUUUUUUAGCAGUAUUUAAGAUGUACCAUCAAUUAUCUUGAAGAUGAUUCAACAACUAUUUUGCCAUUGAUAGAGUUUGCAUACAAUAAUUUAGUAUAUUCUUCUAUUCAACAAACAUCUUUCUUUGCCAAUUAUGGUUAUCAUUUACCACUUGAUAUUUUUGACUUUUCAAAAGUUGAUAAUGCUAUAGCAAAAGAUUUAGCAAAUCAUUUAUUAGAACUAUAUAUAAUAAUAAAGGUAUAAUUAAAGAAAGCUUAAGAAUGAUAAAAUAUCAAUGUGAAUACCUAUCAUAAGAAACAACCAUAAUUCAAUAUUAGUGAUAAAGUAUGGUUACUUUGUUGCAAUAUCAAGACUAAUCUUCUUUGUAAUAAGUUGAACUAUUAUAGAUUUGGACCAUUUUUUAUUUUUAAAUAAGUCAAUUUUAUUGCUUAUCGAUUACAUCUAGUAAAGUCUAUGAAGAUCCAUCUUAUAUUCCAUAUGUUUCUUUUUAAGCCAUAUAAGAUGAUAAAUAUCUUGGAAAAAAGACAAAUGCUACCUCCUCCUAUAAAAGUGAAUAAUAAUCAAAAGUUUGAGAUAGAAGAAGUCUUAGAUUCAAAGCAACUCCAAAAUAGAUUGGAAUAUCUUAUUCAUUGGUAUGGAUAUGAUAUUAGUACAUGCAUAUACCAACUAAUAAAGAAGGUUGAUGCUUUUCAUUGAUGACAUCUAUUAAAAUUAAGAUAAAAAAUAGAAAAUAUUUGAUAUAAAAGAAAUAAGAUUCAAGGAGGAUAGCAUUCUAUAUUCUACCUUUAUUUAUAUUUUUUAUAUAUUUGUGGCAUUAAAAAGAUGAAGAAUCAAUAAUUAGUAAAUUUAAUUUAAGAGUUAUUAUUUACUAAUUUAUUAAAUAAGAUAUUACAAUUGUCACAAUCUUCAAGUUGAAAAAAUUUUAAUAAUGAUUUUCAAGAACAACAUGUCCUUCCUCAAAUAGAUGGCAAGAUAUAAUGUGUUUGAUAUCAUGACAUUCAAUGAAACUCUCAAUAUUUGGUAAUUUUAUUAGAGGUAGAAAUGAUUCUUGAUAAUAUUUAAAAUAUUUUAUUUUAAGGGAGUUAUGAAGGCCUGAACAAAAAUCAAAUAAUAGGGUGGUCUUUUUACCUAUGUAUGAGACAUUAUCAAUAGUUGAGAGGACUUAUCAACCAUCUUCAAAGAAAAUGAAGAUUAAAAUAUAUGGCAAAUAUAAUUCAUAGCAUCUUGGAUUUCUUCAAUAUAUGAUGAUUUUUUAUUGGAACUUAUUCUUAGAAGAGGGAUAAUAUCAUAAACAUAUUUAUUUUAAUAAUUAUAUAUAUAAUUAGAUAGAAGUAGGUAAAAAUAAAUUAAUUUCAUCAUAUCUUUUAAAAAAGCUUCUUAGAAGCUAUAUAGAUGCUACUUUGAUUUUAUACAUAUUUGUAAUUAAUUAAUAAGUUAGAAACUUGGUCAACAAAUUAGCCAUGUAUCAUAUAUAUUGGUAGCUUGUAAAACAAGCUAACUAUGUAGCUUACAUAUAAAAAACUUGCCUUGCAAGUUAAGAUAUGUCUCUAGUAAAAUCAACAUGUAUUGAAGGUCCUAUAGAACAUUACUAUGUAGCUCCUAGUUAGAGAGUAUAUAUGAAGACAAGUAUAAAGCCUUCUUCAUUCUUGUCAAUGCCUUUCUUAUUUUUAAUCUAGUUUGAAGAAUCUAUAUUCUUCUUAUCUUUGGCAAUAGCUAUUUUAGUGUUAAAACUAUAUUACUUUUGGAGUGAAUAUUUAUUCUUCUUGAGUUAUAUAAGAGUGUUUUAAAGUUCUCCUUGUUUUGAUUCAUUUCUGUGAUAUCAUUACUUAUGAUACAACAAGUUUCUUAAUUUUGAAAAAAAAAAAAAAGAUACAAGAAAUAAAGAUUCUAAUUACAUGGCCUCUCAUAUUGGUUUAAUUGGAUGUAUAUUUGAGUAGUUCCAUAAGAGAGUAUUGUCUAAAAAAUAAUGUGUUUUAAUAAAUAGUGCAUAGUCAUAUUCCAAAAAACAUGUUACUAAGUGGUCACACAAAAGUAUGCUUAUUCUUCUUUGAGAAAUAAUAUGAUAUUAUAUAGCAUUAAGGUAUUGUGAUGUUUGUGCUUAAUAUUUCAGUAAUUGAAAUAUAAUAGAACAAUUGUUCCAAAUAUGAUAUACAUAUCAUUUGAUCAAAUAUAAAAAUUGGCUGAUAUACUCUAUUUCUUGGAUUGUAGAAGUAUAAUGGAUCUUUUGCUAUGUGGUGAAGAGACAUUAAAGACCUAAUAUAGAUGAUACUAUAAAGAGCUACAAAAUAAGUGAAUGAUUAUAUUUUGAUAAAAUGGUUUAUUUUUGUUGCCUAAUUAAUAAAACAUUGGAAUUUCAAUGAUUUUUUUAAUAUUUUAGGUGUCUAUAGAUCUUUCAGCAACUCGAGUAGGUAAUAUUGGCAAGAAGGCAAAAAAAUUGGAGCUUACAUUAUGAUUGGUCCCUUCAAAAAGUAAUUCUUAGAUUAAACUUGCUUAGUUGAAAAAAAGAGUGGAUCUUUAAUUCUAAUGCAAAUUAAAAUUGUAUUUGGAUCAUGAAAUCAAUACUUUUUCUCCUUAAAAUUAUUGUUAUAAAUAUUUGUUAAUUGUUGCAAGAGAGAGUUAGUGGCACUUCAUAGUAAUAAGAGAUUCUUUUUAUAAUCAAGAUCCUCCAUAUUAAGUUGUUGAAGCUCAUAUAUUAAUUAUUCAUCAAGACCUUGUAAGCAUCCAAAAGACUUUCAAAUUCAUUGACUUGGGAUUUUUCUAAUAGCUAUCAAAUACAACUCAUUGUCUUAAUAAUAAAAAAAAUUAUCUCAACUGAUGCAUUCUAAGUUCAUGUGUUUGCAAAUUUUUAUAUUAUGUUCGACAUCUCCACCAAAAAAUUGAAUUGAUGUAAUUGUUGUCACAACCAAUUUAGUCGAGGUUUAGGAUUUAGGGUUUAGGAGGCAAGUUGUUAAUAAAAUAAGAGAUGAGUUCUACUAGAGAUAGUUAUGAGUUUCCAAAUAUGACUCAACUUAGCGACGACAUAAGACGACAAUAGAAUUAAUUCCAUUCAAUACAAUAUAAGCAUAAUAAAAACAUAGAAUAAUCAUAUAUUCAAAUAUCUCUUAAGGUCGUCAUACCAAAUGGCUUUAAUAUUAAAAUAUGGAGAUGGAUAACAUUCCUACUAGCCCUACAAUUUAGGCUCUUCUACAAUCCUAUUAACAUAGGAUUUGGCUAAGCCUACUUCUUAUCUUUACAGAAAAAGGGAGGGGGAAAUAUACAUAGAGAGAGAGGCAUAGGAUUUGGCUAAGCCUACUUCUUAUCUUUACAGGAAAAGGGAGGGGGAAAUAUACAUAGAGAGAGAGGCAAAAGAAGGAAGGCAAAGGAAAGAAAGAAAGGAAGGCAAAGGAAAGAAAGAAAGGAAGGCAAAGGAAAGAAAGAAAGGAAGGCAAAGGAAAGAAAGAAAGGAAGGCAAAGGAAAGAAAGAAAGGAAGGCAAAGGAAAGAAAGAAAGGAAGGCAAAGGAAAGGAAGAAAUGCAAAGGAAGGUCACGGAAGGGGGAGGUGGGGUCGCGCGUCCUGCUUCAUGGCCAGGGCGGCUUCACCGAAACGGAUGGCGAGAGGGUGGUGGAAAUGCGGGCGAUGGACGAGGGGGGCUCGAUGCAAUGUGAUGCAGGGCUUGUGCGGGGGAGAUGGAAGGAAGGAAGGAAGGCAAAGCAACGAAAGGAACGAAAGGCGUUGCUUGAGGGUAAGUACCCUGGUGACUAGGCUCUCAGUCUCAGUGGCCAUGGUGAAUCCCUGCCACCCUCUGGCUCUCGAAAUCCCUCUAGCGAUUGCCCUUCUUCACCACCACCACCACCGUUCUUUGUAGCCUUGUUGUGGUCACAUGAAUGUCUUCUCGAUAGAGGUGCACGUCAUUCGACAGCUUGCUGCUCGAGUGCUGUGGUAGUCAAGAUUUUUUGGGGGGGAUUGUUGGAGUUUGUGGAACUAUCCCCUCGUGAGGAAUUUCGGUGGGUUUCGCUGUGGCGGUGGAGUUGAUCGGUGAUGUUGGUUCUUUUGUUUCCGUGAGAAAGUUGGGUUUGUAGAUUGGGUUGUUACCUGGUUUAGCGCUGGGUGGUGGUUGAGGUGCAUGAAGUUGUCUGUGUUAGUGUUCAUUGUUGACGUGCGGGGAUCGGAGACAGGAGUGUUUGAAUUCAGGUUUGUGGGGUCCUCUGUGGGUUAAAUUCUGAAUUGGGAGAAGAUGAAGGGAGGAGGGCGAGCGUUAGGGUUUCCUGCUCUCAUCCGGUUCACCCAGGAGCAAGCGCGACGGGCAGUGCCCAUUUUAGGUCAACAGGUUCGAAGUUCUUCCACGACCAAUCCCCCCACGGAGUCAUCCUCAACUCCAGCAACCCCUACCCUCACCGCAUUGCGAGAGCGUCUCGCCAAAGGGGGUCCUAGCCUAGGUGAUUUUAUCACUCAUUCGAGCACAACUCCGGAGGGAUACUCUGUGGAAGUGGGCACCAAGAAGAAUCCCAAGCCAAAGCCUGAAUGGAUGAAGAUGGUUGUUCCUGGCGGAGACAAGUAUGCUUCAAUUAAGUCCAAGUUGAGGGAAUUGAAACUGAAUACGGUUUGCGAGGAGGCCAGGUGCCCCAACAUUGGAGAAUGCUGGACAGGGGGUGAAACCGGCACUGCAACCGCUACCAUCAUGAUACUCGGGGAUACCUGCACACGAGGUUGCAGGUAUGUAUUGCAGCGGAUUUCGCCCCGAAUUUACUGUCCUGCGAUUCCACAUAUGCUCUUGAUGGGACUUUGUUGAAUAUCCUCCAUCACUGUUCUGCGGAUUGUAGUAGUAAAUCCCUUUCGGAUUUCUAGAAUAUGAAGCCUUGGAUUUGCGGUGUUUUAUUGGUCCGCAGGUUCUGUGCGGUGAAAACUUCGCGAGCCCCUCCACCGGCGGACCCUGAAGAGCCUCUGCGAGUUGCCGAAGCUAUAGUUGCAUGGGGAUUGGAUUACGUGGUGCUGACUAGUGUUGACAGAGAUGACAUGCCUGAUCAGGGCAGCGCACACUUCGCUGAGACUGUGAAAAAUCUGAAAGAGCGCAAACCAACAAUGCUUGUUGAAGCGCUUGGUAAGCGUUUUUUAUUUUCCCUUUCUCUUUUUCUUUCUUUUCUUUACUUUCUUCUUCUUCUUCUUCUUCUUCUUCUUCUUCUUCUUCUUCUUAUUUAUUUAUUUAUUUAUUUUUAAACCCAUUAAAUUGCAUGUCACAACUCCUUGCAUCUUGUCUAUUGUUUUAUUCUAUUUAGAAUCCACUAGUUUUUGCCUUGGUUUGCUUCAACAGAAAUAGUGAGUGUCUUGCGGAUGUUCAAAUCAUUACCUGAAACAUGUGCGUGCUUCACAGUUCCGGAUUUCCGUGGUGAUCCGGCGUGUGUGGAAAGAGUUGCAACAUCGGGGCUUGAUGUGUUCGCUCACAAUAUUGAAACUGUUGAAGAGCUUCAAAGCUCUGUACGGGAUCGAAGAGCUAAUUUCAAGCAAUCCUUGGACGUGUUGCGCAUGGCCAAGAAGUUCGCACCCCCGGGCACUCUUACUAAAACAUCAAUUAUGCUCGGCUGUGGAGAGACUCCUGCACAGGUAUUUUCGUCCACAUGGAUUAUCCUAUUUGACUUUUCUCGGUAAGCAAGGUAGAUUGCUAUUUUAUCUCGUAGUGAUGUUUGGAGCCACUGUGUCAUGGAUCACUCAUGUGUGUGACUAUAACGUUAGUGAAUGUUCCCGAGUUCUUCGUAAUAACGAAUUGAUUUUGUCAUUCCAGGUGGUAAAAGCAAUGAAGAGUGUGCGGGCGGCAGGUGUGGAUGUGAUGACACUAGGCCAAUACAUGAGGCCAACAAAACGGCACAUGCCUGUUUCCGAGUUUGUCACUCCUGAGGCAUUUGAAGAGUACCGGAAGUUGGGAGUUGAAUUGGUAAGAUUUUGAGAAUUCUUCAAGCUCUAAUUUCGUUUGCAUGGAGUUGUCUACCUAUGGGCAGAAUCCAAUAUUUUAUUACUUUUUCGCUGGGUUAAGAAAUUUUGGACUAAGUCACACAUUUUGAAACCACUCAUCAAGCUGACGGUGUUGCAUUUUCAGGGCUUCCGAUACGUGGCAUCUGGCCCAAUGGUACGCUCGUCCUACAAAGCCGGGGAGUAUUUCAUUAAGUCCAUGAUCGAUGAAGAUCGUGAAAGGCAAAGAAUCGCUGCCAUAGAGUAGAUACACCAUCCUUGGUGUUACAUCCAAUUAAGGGGAGUUGGUCUUCGAACGAAACAAUCUGGAUGGAGGGUUAAUGUGCGCACAAGUGUUUUUCUGUGUGAAGAAAUUUUCUCCCCAUAUUACAUCUAGAUUCAAGAUUCUUUCGUAAUACGUCAGAUUUUCAUUUAAUGCCGAAUGGCAGCUUUGUGAGAGGACCUUCACAUACGUGGGGCUGUAAGGUUACUUUUUCAGCAGGGUCUCAAUUAGUAUACGUCUGUAUCAACUAGCUCAUUGAAUGAUUGUUUAGGAGAAAGAAAGGGCGAAACAGGAGUUCAGAUCUUCUGUCGGGAAUGUGCCAUCAUCUUUGUUUAUCAUCUAAACAUUACUUUUAUGGCUUGUAUUUAAAUUAUGUUUGGUAACAGUCGUUGCGCAAUGCCUUCAAAAACCGCUCAGAUGGCAUUGCAAGAAAGGUUCUGGUACAAGGUGUGACACAGAUUGGUUUUCUCGAGAUGAGAUAAUGAACGGCGGGUGCUGGUGACAAGCUAGUGAUUGAAUGGUUCGUGAGCUUCUCAAUCGUAUGCUAAUUCAUGGCUAAUAUUGAUGACAGACAGAUAUGUUAUGAAGCUAUGAGACCAAAUUGCAACAGAGCCUGCUAAGAUAUGUUCACACUCGUCUUUUCACUAGACAUUCUAGUUUUCUGUGUCUAUAUUCGGCUAAAUGAGACAUUAUUUGUGAGCUAUGUUAAGAAACCACGGGGAAGAUUAAUGCUACACGCCCUUGGUUAGAAGGUGCUAAUGAAGAACCCUUCGAAGAGUUUUGAUAUCUCAAUCUUAGAAACGCUGAUUUAACCAACCGGGAGGCUUGUAAUUAAUUAGAAAUUGCACUGUAAACAUGAGUUUUGAAGGGAAAUGAACUACAGAAGCAUAUUUGUAGCGUAGAUUAACAUAAAAAAACAUGAAAAUCAAAAAAUGAAUGAACCAGAUUCUACAGAAUAUAGAUUGUUAGCAGUUCAGCAACUUUACGCGAACGUGGGCUGUGGGCUGUAGGCUGGAGCUCACUAACAGAAUAGAAUGAAGUUGGAUGAUAGGAUUGCACAGGUUUUAAGUGUUUUAGCAGUUGCAGCUCAUUCUAUCUAUGUUUUCCCCAUCACUUAACUAAAACUCAUUGAUAAGACAUGUUUUAGCCAUGUCUGGAACAUUUCCUGAGUCUCAUUGAUGCACAAAUGUGUAACAAUGUAUGUUAGUCCAAGCUGUAAUAAAUUUGACAGUAAGCAAAUGUAACGGAAUAUUUUUCUGCUAGUGUCUUAAUGAGGUAUUACAAUUUUUGAGCAUUUUGUAGUCAUUAAUGAAGGUAUAUAUAUAUAUAUAUAUAUAUAUAUACACACAUUCAUAUGUGAGUGUGAGAGAGAAAUUCAGCAGAAAAAUAAAUAAAGAAUGAAUGAAAACACAAUGCAAUACAAUAAAAUGAGGUGCAACACUUGAACUUUUUUUCAUACAAACACCACCUUUCAAUUUGAUAAAACAUUUCUGGGUUCAAUACAAUCUAGUGUUGGCUAUGUUUUUAUUUUUUUUUAUCUCAUCUUCUUCUAAAGUGUGAAAGAUUCUUUCAUUACAAUCUUUUGACCACGAUUGACUUUAGUACCGACAUCCACUAGUAUUGUCAAAGCACCAGUACACUAAAUGGAAUAUUUAGGAAAAAAAUUCCAAAAAGCAUUUAAUGUAUGAUGGUUGAUGAGUCCUACUUUUUACAGUUUAAUAGCUUUAUAUGUAUUAUAUCAAGUGUCAUUAAGUACAAAUACAGCUUCUACAUUCACUUUCAUUGCUAUAAAAGAGUUGCUCCAAGAAUGUACUUUUUUCACGAUGACUUCUUAAUGACUAUUCUUUAUAAUAAAAAUAAAUAAAAAUCAAAACUUGGAAAUUUGUUGAUUGUUAUGUUAACAAUACUUAUUAAGAGAUGUUUCUGUAAUUUCGAUGCUACUAUUUUUGAAAACUAUAAAAUUUAAAACUUUUCAAAAAGAUGUUAAAGUACGUAAACAAUAUAUAGUAAUACAACUUAGUGGAUUAGAAAGCUUAUAUUACGUAAAUAUACACACACUUAAUGACAUUGACUGGCAACUUUUUGAGGUUAAAUGUGAUUACUGUACUAAUUUAUAAAUUAUACAGUACUAACAACAAUAACAAUCAUAUUGCGUAUACUAAUAUGGAUACUCAGACUAUAUGUAUUUAUUAGUAGUAUACGUACGGGUUUCAAAACUAGUGGACAUAACUCACACUAAGCAAAAUAAAACCACUAAGUAUAAAUUUAUUUUAUUUUAUUUUAUUUUAUGAUGAUAGUAGUAAGAUUAAUAAUGAUAACAACAACAACAACUAGUGUGAAAGUUUUUUUUUUUUUUUUUUUUUUUUUUUAACAUACUCAUUUGAUUGGAAUGGCCACAUGAAAAGUAUUUUGUGGUUGUUGAUUCAUACGAUUUUUAAAAUAUUACCUUUCAUACAAUUUUAAAACAUUGAUGAUUUGCACCAUCAACUCUCAUAUCCUACAAAAACGACUAUUCAUUUUAAAAUAAAUGUUCAGUGAACUGGGUAGUUGUCUCUACAAAUCUGUCAAUUCAUAGUGCCUUAUCUCAGAACUCAAAAUUGUUGAAGGAUAUUUUGAAAAAAACCUCAUCAUUCUGUUAAGCAACUACCAUUUCCAUAAUUCAAGUGACAUUACAAGGGGAAGAAUAAAUUUUAAUUAGAAACAAAAUAAACAUAAGCUUACUUAAGUUCAGUGUUACCCAAUGUACUCAAAUGCACCUCAUAACAUAAAAUGUCAUAUGUUGAAUUCUUCUGUUAUUAGUACUUGCAUGAACAGAAUGUAGAUAAAAAUGAGGAGGAAGUAUUUUGUAACAACUGUAUUUGCAACUUAAGCUUAAAUAAAUAUCUUGCAAAUUAUUAUUGUGUUUAUGAUAACUUUAAAUCAGAUUUCUUUAGAAUUAACUCAUCAAAAAUACCUAUUAUAGAUUCUGCAAAGGACACUCAUCCUUGUUUAAAUUAGUGUUUGAUUUGAGCAAGAAUGGGAGAAAUGGGGUACACCCACUUUAUGAAAGUAUAGAAUACAAAAGUAAAAUGGUAUGGCAUGAUGGACAACAUUAUUUGUCCCAUGCAAAAGUGGACAAUCAAAUAUAUUGGUUCCCAUCCAAAAAGGAUUUAGUUCUCCAUUCAAUCCCCUUGAGUUUCCCAUCUAAAACCAUUAGUUCUCAAUCCAAAGUGUACUCCCUAAAAUAUAUGAUUUAGGGCUUCUCCAACAUGUUUUACCUCUUCACAAGGGAAUGCUCAAGAGUGUCCAUGCCAAUCUCAUAGCCACCACCUUUCAUGUCUUUCCUUCUCACUCUUAUCUUUUGUUCUUUUUUUCAUUGUUUGUAUUAUUCCAAUUUCAAAGGGACCUAAGUCUAACCUCGUUCUAGCAUGAGGUUAGACUUAGGUCUCAUUGUAGCACCUGGUAGUAGAUUUUGAAAACAACCUCUUCUCCCUUCAUUAUUUUUUUGAAUACAUUUAUUGGGGUUUCUUUCUAUAGUUAAUCGAUUUUUUUCUUUUUGCUGAUUUUUAUAUGAAAUUAUUUUCAAAAUUUCUACUUGUAUUUUUACAAAAAUUGUAUUCACGUUGAAAGAAGUUUGAUAAAGAAUCUUGAAUCUUCAUAUUUAUAACUACCACACACACACACACACAUAUAUAUAUAUAUAUAUAUAUGUGUGUGUGUGUAUGUGUGUAUGUAUACGUAUGUAUAUUAUACGUAUAAAUAUACAUGUAGAUUUACACACAUCCAUACAUAUAAAUAUCUAAUUGUCAUGCAAUCUGGCAUCCUCUUUCAUUCAUUGUCUCCCAAUGUCCUCCCUACACCUCUGCUACAUUAAAUUAAAGUGCAAUUCCCCUACUUAAGUCUGUGUGUAUGUAUUAUAUGUAUAUGUAUAUAUGUGUGUAUAUAUGCGUACAUAUAUACAUAUAUAUGCAUAUAUACAUGUAUAUAAGUAUAUGUGUAUAUGUGUGGGUACUUGUUUUUCCAAUUGAAUAAUUCAGAAUGAAUGCUGCACAAAAAGAGGGAGAGGAGGAAAUGCUUCUAUGGAGCACCCACUUUAGUGAACCCCAGGUCCCCCCAACCUCAUUCAUCCAUCCCUCUCACUCUAGGCAAGGAUGCGAAUGGAUGGUCCUGCUAAUGGAUGAAUGAAUUGUUCAAUGAAGCACAGUACUUCUCUCACCCAUCGCACAAUAGGAGAACUGCAGUCAGGCAUUGGGUGUUGUGCUUUCUCACUUCAGUCCCACAUCCAUCCAUCUUAUCAUACUUAUCAUUCAUCCAUACAUGCACAGGCUGUUCGAACAUAAAUAUAUUGAAGUAUGAGAAUAAAAUCAAUAAUUUGAAGCGCUUUUGGUUGGCACUUUGGUGCACGAGUACUAGCACCUAAUAGAACACAAACAAACAAACAAACAAACUCAAGAACAAAAAUGCUACAAAACCAACUGAAAGAGCCUUUUUAGGUUAACAAAACUGGCAAGAGCUGUUGCAAAAUCAUCAUUGUUUUGCCGUGUUGAAAAAGGUGAGGGGAAUUUCACCAUCUCUUUUUAACAAUCAAAGAAUCUGGCUUCUAAAAAUAAAUAAGGAGUAAAGAAUAAAAGAAAAAAAAAAAAAAAAAAAAAAAAAGACUUCAGAAACAGAGGCAGUUCUGUCGAGCCGUUUCAAGGUGUGGAAUCUGGAUUUAUUCACUCUAUUUAUUUAUUAAUUGUAUAGAAACCCCUUGUUUCACAAGUCAAGCAAUUGUGGCAUUUGUUUUGUGGAGUUUCAUGCAAAGAGAGUGAAUUUGGAAUUGAGUUGUGUUCCUUUCUAAAGACAAAAGAUGAAAAACAUUGAACAAAAUAAAAUAUUCAAAAGGAUCCUAUUAUUUAUGAACAUAAAUAUAUGUAUAUAUAGCAAUGUCUUAUAGAACAUAGAAGACUUUGUUAGGAAUUUUUCAAGAAGAAAAUAGGUAAACAAUUUGGAACAAGAGACUCCCCUUCGCAAAAGAAAGGGAUAAUUUUUGGAUGGCAAAAGAGAUGCUAAGUUCCAAAGAGCAAAUGGUAAUUAAAUGAAAUAUUAUUAUACCACAAAGUGAUGUAAUAAUACAAGAUAUGGCAACGGUUAAGAAAGUAUUAACAAUUACUCUGUAGUAUCCUUAUCUCUGUCCUCCAUGUUAUUAAGAGGUAAGGCAACUUUUGUAACUUUCAUUUAAUCAGAGCAUUUGGUAUACUUCAAUUUUUGUGUCAAAAAAAGGAGGAGAAUAUAUUCACAUAUAUUUGAACGUAUGCAUAUGUUUUCUUUACCACAGAAUAUUGCUAAUCGGUUGCAUUUUCGUGGAACAAAUAAAAAAAAAGUUGUGCAUUUGUAAAUCUUCCAAUGAGGGGUACUCUAUUCAUUUCCAAAACAGAUUUCUUUUGCAGCUUAAAUUACAUUAUUAUGCACAAAGUGACUGCACUAGACUGUCUUAAAUAACAAUGUCAAUACAAGGUAAAUAAUGGAUAAUUACAGGCAAAUAAAUAAAAUGAUUAGUUGUCAUGAGUGAUCAUUGAUCACGAACUGAAUGAAAAACUGAUACACAACAUUUAGAAGUGACCCAAUUUUUAUUUCAAACAUAAUAAAGAACAAAAACCAUAUGACUUGGCCUCAGCCCCCAGUCAAAAUAAACAUAAAAAUAAAGUAUCUGAGAAGAUUUUAGGGUUUGGGACUGUGGAUUAUGCAGGAGGAGGAGGAGGAGGAGGAGGCUGGACUUAGUCCAAACUUAGGGAGGCAAGUGGGACAGCCAGUCUAUAUUGGCACCUGGUCCCACAAAUAUAUGUGUAUUGUGUAGCAACAAUUUGUCCUUUCACAUCAUUCCAUCUCCUUCAGGGUAGCCGAAUACUUCAUAGACUGAUCUUCUCCACCCAGUUCCACACAAUAAUAUCAGUAGGGCCAGUCUUGGGUCCUAUAUUUAUACACACUCCAUUGCUUUAUAUAUAUUAUUAAUACAUAAUGCCAGUAGAUCUUGGCAGGGUUCAGCAUGUCGACAAUUACCCCCACCCCCAUCCCCCUUAGAAGUUAUUCCA